AUGAUGGUGUAGAAUAUCCUGUUGAUGGUAAAUUGAUGGUUGCUAGGCGUGCUCUCAACAUGCAAGUUAAAGAGGAUGCGGAGGUACAACGUGAUAACAUCUUUCAUACUAGAUGCCACAUCAAAGAUAAGGUAUGUAGUAUGAUAAUUGAUGGAGGAAGUUGUACUAAUGUAGCUAGCACUAGUUUAGUUGAAAAAUUAAAUUUGAAAACUUUGAAACAUCCAAGGCCAUAUAAGCUACAAUGGCUGAAUGAUUGUGGGGAAGUUAAAGUAAAUAAACAAGUGCUGGUUUCAUUCUCUAUUGGGAGAUACAAGGAUGAGGUUCUAUGUGAUGUAGUACCCAUGCAUGCUGGACACAUUCUUUUGGGUCGACCUUGGCAAUAUGAUAGGCGUGUGACACAUGAUGGAUACUUAAAUAGAUAUUCUUUUGUAAUGAAUAAAAGGCAAAUCACUCUUGUACCAUUAACACCUAGGAAUUCCAUGUCAUAAAACUGAUGAUGCGACAAGCAUAACUAAUUUGUUUUUCAAGGAAAUAGUCAAGUUGCAUGGAGUACCAAGGAGCAUAGUUUCAGAUCGAGAUGUUAAGUUCUUGACCCACUUUUGGAAAACUUUCUUGAUAAGUUCACUAGCAUCUCGAUCUGAAACUAUGCUCCUUGGUACUCCAUGCAACCUGACUAUUUCCUUGAAAAACAAAUUAGCUAUGCUUGUCGCAUCAUCAGUUUUAUGACAUGGAAUUCCUAGGUGUUAAUGGUACAAGAGUGAUUUGCCUUUUAUUCAUUACAAAAGAAUAUCUAUUUAAGUAUCCAUCAUGUGUCACACGCCUAUCAUAUUGCCAAGGUCGACCCAAAAGAAUGUGUCCAGCAUGCAUGGGUACUACAUCACAUAGAACCUCAUCCUUGUAUCUCCCAAUAGAGAAUGAAACCAGCACUUGUUUAUUUACUUUAACUUCCCCACAAUCAUUCAGCCAUUGUAGCUUAUAUGGCCUUGGAUGUUUCAAAGUUUUCAAAUUUAAUUUUUCAACUAAACUAGUGCUAGCUACAUUAGUACAACUUCCACCAUCAAUUAUCAUACUACAUACCUUAUCUUUGAUGUGGCAUCUAGUAUGAAAGAUAUUAUCACGUUGUACCUCCGCAUCCUCUUUUACUUGCAUGUUGAGAGCACGCCUAGCAACCAUCAACUUACCAUCAACAGGAUAUUCUACACCAUCAUUAGCAUCCUCCAAAGGUGGCAUAGCUGCUGUACGGCCAAGGCGGAUGUACGGUACAGCAGGAGGGAGCUCGGGCCAAAUACAGCCCACCUAACAGCAGCUAUCAAGGCUAUAGGCGCGAAAGAAAGGCGAGCAGGGAAUUUGGCAUCAUAUCGGUUAGCUGAGCCUGCCUCAAGGAAGAGCUUUGAACCUACUUUCAAAUGAAGUUUCGUUCCGGGGAGUAAUAUCAAGUAAUCUGAUGAUCCGGCCUUUGUGGCCUGGUUAAAGAGUUUCCUGAAUGGAAUAAGCAUUCAACCCCUUUCCUAAAUAAAGAAAGUAAGACAAGCCAGCUGCUGUACGGCCAAGGCGGAUGUACGGUACAGCAGAAGUGUACAUAGGGAUUCUCAACUCUUCGAUUGCGGUAGAGUAGAAAGGGUCCAUGAAAAGUCCGUCGAACCACCACCCCAAAAAAAGAAUGCAAUGACCCCUUCAGAUCGAAAAUGAAUCUUAUAAUUGCAGUUGCAUUAUGCCAGUGAUCAAGAUAUCAACCACAUAAAUUGGUAGGAGAAUGGUUAUGGACCCAUGAUGACGAGUAGUAAGUGAUGAGUCGGACUUAGAAAAUCUUAGGCCAAACUAAAUGUUGAUCAGUGAAGACAAGAAAGCUUUUAAGUGUAGAUGACUACUUGUACUUGAAAUUCCAUUCCUUUAUCAGGUGGGAGGGUUUAGAGCCAGUUAAGCCAAUAGCAUAUCUAGCAACAGCUUCAGUAACACUAGCUACAUCAGUAGAUCAUUGAUUAGCAUACCUCCUCUGAAUAGUCUCUGCUGUACCGUACAUCCGCCUUGGCCGUACAGCAGUUGAGAACUAGUGAACUUAUCAAGAAUUUACAUUCUUGUGGUGUUCCAAAUUUAGACUUAUCACUCACCUUCUCAUCUNNNNNNNNNNNNNNNNNNNNNNNNNNNNNNNNNNNNNNNNNNNNNNNNNNNNNNNNNNNNNNNNNNNNNNNNNNNNNNNNNNNNNNNNNNNNNNNNNNNNNNNNNNNNNNNNNNNNNNNNNNNNNNNNNNNNNNNNNNNNNNNNNNNNNNNNNNNNNNNNNNNNNNNNNNNNNNNNNNNNNNNNNNNNNNNNNNNNNNNNNNNNNNNNNNNNNNNNNNNNNNNNNNNNNNNNNNNNNNNNNNNNNNNNNNNNNNNNNNNNNNNNNNNNNNNNNNNNNNNNNNNNNNNNNNNNNNNNNNNNNNNNNNNNNNNNNNNNNNNNNNNNNNNNNNNNNNNNNNNNNNNNNNNNNNNNNNNNNNNNNNNNNNNNNNNNNNNNNNNNNNNNNNNNNNNNNNNNNNNNNNNNNNNNNNNNNNNNNNNNNNNNNNNNNNNNNNNNNNNNNNNNNNNNNNNNNNNNNNNNNNNNNNNNNNNNNNNNNNNNNNNNNNNNNNNNNNNNNNNNNNNNNNNNNNNNNNNNNNNNNNNNNNNNNNNNNNNNNNNNNNNNNNNNNNNNNNNNNNNNNNNNNNNNNNNNNNNNNNNNNNNNNNNNNNNNNNNNNNNNNNNNNNNNNNNNNNNNNNNNNNNNNNNNNNNNNNNNNNNNNNNNNNNNNNNNNNNNNNNNNNNNNNNNNNNNNNNNNNNNNNNNNNNNNNNNNNNNNNNNNNNNNNNNNNNNNNNNNNNNNNNNNNNNNNNNNNNNNNNNNNNNNNNNNNNNNNNNNNNNNNNNNNNNNNNNNNNNNNNNNNNNNNNNNNNNNNNNNNNNNNNNNNNNNNNNNNNNNNNNNNNNNNNNNNNNNNNNNNNNNNNNNNNNNNNNNNNNNNNNNNNNNNNNNNNNNNNNNNNNNNNNNNNNNNNNNNNNNNNNNNNNNNNNNNNNNNNNNNNNNNNNNNNNNNNNNNNNNNNNNNNNNNNNNNNNNNNNNNNNNNNNNNNNNNNNNNNNNNNNNNNNNNNNNNNNNNNNNNNNNNNNNNNNNNNNNNNNNNNNNNNNNNNNNNNNNNNNNNNNNNNNNNNNNNNNNNNNNNNNNNNNNNNNNNNNNNNNNNNNNNNNNNNNNNNNNNNNNNNNNNNNNNNNNNNNNNNNNNNNNNNNNNNNNNNNNNNNNNNNNNNNNNNNNNNNNNNNNNNNNNNNNNNNNNNNNNNNNNNNNNNNNNNNNNNNNNNNNNNNNNNNNNNNNNNNNNNNNNNNNNNNNNNNNNNNNNNNNNNNNNNNNNNNNNNNNNNNNNNNNNNNNNNNNNNNNNNNNNNNNNNNNNNNNNNNNNNNNNNNNNNNNNNNNNNNNNNNNNNNNNNNNNNNNNNNNNNNNNNNNNNNNNNNNNNNNNNNNNNNNNNNNNNNNNNNNNNNNNNNNNNNNNNNNNNNNNNNNNNNNNNNNNNNNNNNNNNNNNNNNNNNNNNNNNNNNNNNNNNNNNNNNNNNNNNNNNNNNNNNNNNNNNNNNNNNNNNNNNNNNNNNNNNNNNNNNNNNNNNNNNNNNNNNNNNNNNNNNNNNNNNNNNNNNNNNNNNNNNNNNNNNNNNNNNNNNNNNNNNNNNNNNNNNNNNNNNNNNNNNNNNNNNNNNNNNNNNNNNNNNNNNNNNNNNNNNNNNNNNNNNNNNNNNNNNNNNNNNNNNNNNNNNNNNNNNNNNNNNNNNNNNNNNNNNNNNNNNNNNNNNNNNNNNNNNNNNNNNNNNNNNNNNNNNNNNNNNNNNNNNNNNNNNNNNNNNNNNNNNNNNNNNNNNNNNNNNNNNNNNNNNNNNNNNNNNNNNNNNNNNNNNNNNNNNNNNNNNNUUGAGACCUUUCGUAAAGUAGAGGUAAAUAUUCCUCUACUUGAUGCUAUUAAACAAGUGCCGCGUUAUGCAAAGUUUUUGCAGGAAUUAUGCAGCAACAAGCGAAAGUUGAGCGGUAACGAAAAGGUAAGUGUUGGAGAGAAUGUUUCUGCUGUACUUCAAAGAAAACUUCCGCCUAAGUGCAAGGAUCCAGGUACUUUCACUAUCCCCUGCACUAUUGGUAAUACCAGAUUCGAAAGAUGUAUGCUAGAUUUAGGGGCCUCAAUUAAUGUUAUGCCAUAUUCGAUUUAUAACUCCUUGAAUUUAGGUCCAAUGGAAGAAACUGGUAUAAUUAUUCAAUUGGCUGACAGAUCUAAUGCUUACCCGAAGGGGGUUAUGGAAGAUGUUCUUGUGCAGGUCAAUGAAUUAGUCUUUCCAGCUGAUUUUUAUAUCCUUGAAAUGGAGGAUGAGUUGUCGCCCAAUCCCACUCCUAUUCUGUUGGGGCGGCCAUUUCUUAAGACAGCCCGAACCAAGAUUGAUGUUCAUGAUGGAACCCUCACAAUGGAAUUCGAUAGUGAAGUGAUCCGCUUCAAUAUUUUUGAGGCAAUGAGGUAUCCUAGUGAUGCACAUUCUGUCUUUGCCAUAGAUGAUAUUAAUACUUUGGUGCAGGAUUUCUUUGAAUUACCCGGUAAUGACAGUUUUGAAAUUGCCAUAAGCAAAAAUCUUACGAAAGAUGAUUCUAAGGAACAUGCAAAUUUGAUAAAGUUGGAUGAUGAGGUAGAGGAAGCUAUGGCGAUCUUAGAUGGAGCAGUCACAUUAUGCACCAAUGGGUAUAGUGUUUCUUACUUUGAAUUAGUCUUCAUUGUCCACAAGCCUUACUUCUAGCACCUAGAAACGCGGGACUACUAGACACAAGACAUGGCAUAUGAAUGGAGAACUUAUCCUCAUCCAUAUACCCUCAUUCAUGACACAUCUGUUACUUCUGUUCUCAAAGCCGACCUUAUGGAACCAAACAAUGUUCCUUCCCCGGCCACAGACAUUCACCACACCUCUAUUAGACCAUCACACACUCUUGAAAUUAUUCCCAAAACACAAGGCUGUACUCCAGGUUCAAGUUCAAGCCCUCAAGGUAUCCUUGUCAUGGAACAACGUCCUGACUACACCAAUGUCUUAUUCCAAGAUGAUCAGGAUCCAUGGGAAGACUUUCAGUCCCUUCUCUAUACUGAAAAUCCUCGUUAUACUGUCACCACUCUAGACUCUCCUGCUACAUCUACAUCUCAGCACAUGACUGAAGCUGAUGAAGCAAAAUACCAGUAAAACUAAAGUAUACCUCGACCAACGACAAAUCCGUCGGCACAAACGACAAUAUGAAAAAGACACAGGAGAUGUGUCACCAUCUCGUUAUCCAUCCACUCCAUGAUAACGACUUAUGAACAAGCUUUUGAUACACCUAUCCAUGUGACUCCCGUUUGUCUUUUGUUAAAGUCCUUGUCGGUAUGCUUGUUAAAGUCCUUGUCGGUAUGUUUUCCUUUUGUUAAAGUCCUUGUCAGUAUGCUUUACUUUCGUUAAAGUCCUUAUCGGCGUGCUUUACUUUUUUUUUAAAUGUCUUUAUUGGUGUGCUUUGCUUUAGAAUCAUUCGAGAGGUCCUAUUCUCAAUGAUUUUCUAUAAAUAGCACCUUCAGCUUCAGUUGAGGGGAGCUCAUCAAGAAAUAAAAAAUCCAAUUCUAUACAUUAUGUUUCCCUAAAACUCUCUCUCUCUUCUAGGAAUCAAAGCAAUUAUUUAGGUUACUAAUGAUACGCUCACUCCAAAUUUGCUAAACUGAGUAUGCUCUGCACUUGCCUUAAGCCUAAGGAUCCUGUGCAUCAGAAAAGUCCUGUUUUUAUCCUCCAAAACUGAUUUUAUAAAAUGACGGUAUUUUCUCACAACGUUCACCCUCUUUGAAGGCUCUGAGUGCCAAGUUUUUAGGUGGUAUCAUGAAAAACUAUUUUCAACUAUGAUUUCGGAUUUGGUAUUAAAUGGAUAAGUGUAUAUCGGCUGGAAACCAGAACUUGCGGGCUACUAGCCCUAAGAACAGACUUCGUUCUGUUAUAUCAGAAAUUGGUUGGUUUCCGGAUCUAUUACUGUUUUGGUUUUCCGUGGCUAAAAGAAAUCAAAGGGUUUUCUUUGGGGUGAUAAGCCCUAAACACACGACAAUCCUAGCCUUUUCAAGAGGGCGCCACACCUUACAGAAUCACUCUAUAGUGUUUUAGAAUGGAAAUUUGGAACAGGUAGAUUAGUAUCCAACAACUUUCUGAUGUGGAGGAUCCGAAGUAUUUCGGCAACCACAGAGCAUAAUAUUGUUGCACACCCAGGGGUUUCCUUUCGGGAAAUGUGGCUCUGAUACCAAUUCGAAAAAUAUAUGAAAACAGAGGAAGGUUACUUCAUUAAGAGGAAUGAGAGAUUUACAAAUACAAGAUUGCACUCCAAGACUCGAUGCCUAGAACUAAACCAAGGGUUCCCUUUUAUAGGCUCAAGGGAUCCACUAUUACACACUGUUUACAUUAUUGAUCCUUAUCACUAAGGAAUCUACUUUACAACUCAUCUCUUACUUUGUUUCUAACUCUUAUCCUUAUCUCUAAGGAGAGUAUACAAUACAUACGAAUACAAUACAUAUAUAUUAUUAUUAUCAGAGAUUGAAGUGAACUAUUAUGAGAACCAGUUAUCCUUCCUAGGGGAAUAAAGGAAAAGAGAGAAUUUUUAGAGAGCCAUGAUAUUGGAAAACUCGGAUUAUUAUUUCCAAAAACUGAUCUUAUUACAACUGAGGAUGUGAUGAGAACCAUCAAGGGAAUACCAUUAAAACUUCAAGUGAUCCUUUGCACAUUCAUGGAGGUCCAAUUACAAGAGCAAAAGCCAAAAAGAUGCAAGCUACUUUAAAUGGAUUAAUUGAGAAAAUAUGGAUUGAAAAUGCAAUUCAAGAUGCAAGACAUUAUGAAUUAGGCUUGAAGAGAAGACAAGGCAUUGUGGGCAUUAUUCAAGUUAUUGGGCAGCCAAAUACACAAUUUGUAUCAAAUGCAGAAAUGUCACAUUUGGAAUAAAAACUGUAUUGAUUGAGCUAGAAGUAAUGUGCAAGCUAUAUAUCUUGGAAAUAUAAUUAAGUUAGCUUUCCAAUAAAUUUUGCAGAUCUGGAUUUGGAGUUCUCUAGAAGGAGUUAUGACCAAUUCAUUACAGCUUGUUCAGACUUGAGAUUUUCAACGACUCCUUUGUUUUUCAACUUCAUUUGUUUGUUUUGUUUCAAGUUUGUCAAUGUGUAAGGUAAGUCUACCAUCAAUGAUGGUGGGCUAACAUUAAGUUUGUCAAUGAUAGCAUUAAUUAUAGUAGGCUAGCAUUAAGUUUGUCAAAGAUAGCAUUAAUUAUGGUGGGUUGGUGAAGACUUUUGAAACAUCUUUUGACAAACCUACUUGGAGGGUUGUUCCAAUGUUUCCAUUUGGAUUUUUAGGAUCUUGGGUUUCUUUUAGCCUAUUUAAACUGAACAACUUGAGACAAAAGUUGACUCCCAAACCUUUUGAAUCAAUCCUCAACUGGCAAACCCACAAUGCCAGAGCACAGAAUGAUACCUUUUUGAAUAUUAAUUCCAAAGUUGACAAAAUCAGUUUGCGAACUGAACAACUUGAAACAAAAGUUGACUCCAUCGCUGCACAAAUGGAGUAGAUCCACCAAAAUCUCUAGUCCCGAAUUGCUCAACUCGAUUCUGAGUUACGAACCAUGCUUGCCCAGCGCUACUAUGGCCCUGAAUUUGACCAAAAGGAACGGGAAAUCAGACGUUUAAAAGCUGAGCUGUGUGGCGUCAAUACCCUUCUCUAUACCUUUGGUUCAUGUUUUCUUAAGCAUUGGGUCAAGGUUUUUGUUUGCCAUAAAUCUGUUUAGAACUUUCUUGGGAAGUUGAAACUACAAAUUAAGUGUGGGUUUCAAAGUUUCAUUGUGGGAUUCACAUCAUUUGGUAUCAGAGCUAGUUUCUAAUCAAGUUUGAAUCUCUUAUUUAGUUUGAUUAUCAAAAAGAAAAAAAAAAGAAAAAGAAACGUACAAAAAAAAGAUUACAAAAGGAUUCAAGUAUUUCUACUUUCAUCAAAUUGAAUUUUAGUUAUUCAUUUUCCUUGACAUAGUUUACACACAUCAAUUGUGUUGCUUUGCUUGCUUGCUUUCCUUUCUUCAAUUUCCUUUUCAUUCUUUGUGUCUUCUUAAUUUCUUUUCUUUGUUAGUGUGCUGGAUUGUCAUAUUUGGUGUGCCACUUGGGUUUUUUUUUUCUUGAUUUUGUUUAUUUAGUUCAAUAAAGAACUAAAAGAGAGAAUUAAGUGUGGUAAAAGGCAAAAGUUUGUGAGAUCAUUAUAGGGUAAAAGCCAAUUUGUGUGUUAAACACGAGAGUUAAGUGACAUCAAAAUUGAGUGAAAUACGUGAGGGAGUGUUGUGAGGUCUUUUUGCUAACAUUCUUUUCAGAUCACAAAUAUGUCAAAAGAUCAAGAAGCUAUAGACCAAUCAAUCAUGCUCAAAGCCAUGCAACAACAAUUUGAGCACAUGAAUCUGAUGUUUGGAGAGAUCCGUGACAAAUUGGAGAGGCAAGACACUGCCAUAGCCAAUCUACAAAGGGGGCAACAACCAAUAGCUCCUAAUGUAAGAGGUAAUCAAGGGCGUGCUGUCAUGGGAGAAGAAGAUAGCAAUGACAUAGAUGAUUUUGAUGACCAGGCCACCGUUGACAUGCGUGGAAGAGAUAAUAGAAGGGCAAGACGUAUAGAUCGUGAUUUGGGGAGUAUCAAACUGCAAAUUCCUUCUUUUCAAGAUAAAAAUGAUCCGGAAGCUUAUUUGGAGUGGGAAAAAAAGGUGGAGCUAGUAUUUGAUUGCCACAACUACUCUGAGGAGAAAAAGGUAAAACUAGCUGCUGUUGAAUUUACUGAUUAUGCUAUUAUUUGGUGGGAUCAACUUGUUUUGAGUAGGAGAAGAAAUCGUGAAAGGCCUAUAAACACUUGGGGGGAGAUGAAGGCCAUCAUGAGGAGGAGAUUUGUUCCUAGUCAUUAUUAUAGGGAGCUGCACCAAAGGCUUCAAAGUCUUACACAAGGUUCUAGAAGUGUGGAAGAUUACCACAAGGAGAUGGAAAUAAUCAUGAUUCGAGCCAACAUUGAAGAAGAACGAGAGGCCACUAUGGCAAGAUUUUUACAUGGUUUAAAUCAAGAUAUCGCUAAUGUGGUUGACUUCCAGCACUAUGUUGAGUUGGAAGACAUGGUUCACAUGGCCAUGAAAGUGGAACGACAACUGAAAAAGAAAGGUUCCACUAGAACCAAUUUGGGUUAAUCUUACUCAUGGAAGUCAAAAUGGAGCAAAGAUGAAAAGGUUGUUUCAAAGCCUAAGAUUGAGCCAAUAAAGGAUCAUAAAGAGGGAGGCAACCAAAGCAAAGGUAAAUCUGAUUCCCAACACUCUAGAAUCAGAUGAUGAUCCUAUGCCACCUUUGGAGGAUGCUAAUGAUGGUGUAGAAUAUCUUGUUGAUGGUAAAUUGAUGGUUGCUAGGCGUGCUCUCAACAUGCAAGUAAAAGAGGAUGCGGAGGUACAACGUGAUAAUUGAUGGUGGAAGUUGUACUAAUGUAGCUAGCACUAGUUUAGUUGAAAAAUUAAAUAAGAGAGUAAUGAUCUUGAGGGAUGAUGGUGACGUUGAAACCGAGAGUGAAUCAGAUGAUGAUCCUACUCCACCUUUGGAGGAUGCUAAUGAUGGUGUAGAAUAUCUUGUUGAUGGUAAAUUGAUGGUUGCUAGGCGUGCUCUCAACAUGCAAGUAAAAGAGGAUGCGGAGGUACAACGUGAUAAUUGAUGGUGGAAGUUGUACUGAUGUAGCUAGCACUAGUUUAGUUGAAAAAUUAAAUAAGAGAGUAAUGAUCUUGAGGGAUGAUGGUGACGUUGAAACCGAGAGUGAAUCAGAUGAUGAUCCUACUCCACCUUUGGAGGAUGCUAAUGAUGGUGUAGAAUAUCUUGUUGAUGGUAAAUUGAUGGUUGCUAGGCGUGCUCUCAACAUGCAAGUAAAAGAGGAUGCGGAGGUACAACGUGAUAAUUGAUGGUGGAAGUUGUACUGAUGUAGCUAGCACUAGUUUAGUUGAAAAAUUAAAUAAGAGAGUAAUGAUCUUGAGGGAUGAUGGUGACGUUGAAACCGAGAGUGAAUCAGAUGAUGAUCCUACUCCACCUUUGGAGGAUGCUAAUGAUGGUGUAGAAUAUCUUGUUGAUGGUAAAUUGAUGGUUGCUAGGCGUGCUCUCAACAUGCAAGUAAAAGAGGAUGCGGAGGUACAACGUGAUAAUUGAUGGUGGAAGUUGUACUGAUGUAGCUAGCACUAGUUUAGUUGAAAAAUUAAAUAAGAGAGUAAUGAUCUUGAGGGAUGAUGGUGACGUUGAAACCGAGAGUGAAUCAGAUGAUGAUCCUACUCCACCUUUGGAGGAUGCUAAUGAUGGUGUAGAAUAUCUUGUUGAUGGUAAACACUCUUGUACCAUUAACACCUAGGCAAGUGUAUGAGGAUCAAAUGUCAAUACAAAAAGAGAGUGAUACAAAAAAUGAAAAUGAGAGUACAAAAUAAAGAGAGAUGGAGAGAAAAGCAAGUGAAAAGAUAGAAAAAAAUAUUGUUGAGAGAAAAGAGAGGUAGCAUGUGAACUUGUUUGCAAAAGAGAGCGAGGUUAAGAGGGCUUUCUUUUCAAAACAACCUAUCGUUGUACUUUUGUGCAAAGAGGCUUGUUUACACACUAAUGAGCUUAACUUUUCUUUGCCUAGAGCUAUUGUGACUCUUUUGCAGGACUUUGAUGAUGUGUUUCCAAAUGAAGUCCCUAACGGUUUGCCACCCAUUAGGGGAAUUGAGCAUCAAAUAGACUUCGUCCCUGGAGCUACGAUUCCUAAUAGACCUGCAUAUAGAAGUAACCCCGAGGAGACAAAAGAGCUUCAAAGGCAAGUUGAAGAACUCUUGGCAAAAGGAUAUGUGAGGGAGAGCAUGAGUCCAUGUGCGGUACCAGUUUUACUAGUGCCCAAAAAGGAUGGAACAUGGAGGAUGUCCGUUGACUGUUGUGCAAUUAAUAAAAUCACUGUAAAGUAUCGACAUCCUAUUCCUAGACUUGAUGACAUGCUUGAUGAAUUGCAUGGUUCUUGUGUGUUUAGUAAAAUUGAUCUUAAAAGUGGGUAUCAUCAAAUUAGGAUUAGAGAGGGAGAUGAGUGGAAAACUGCCUUUAAAACAAAAUAUGGUUUAUAUGAGUGGUUAGUGAUGCCAUUUGGGUUAUCUAAUGCACCUAGCACUUUUAUGAGGUUAAUGAGAAAAGAAGUUAUAACAAUAACAGUGAAAAAGAAACUAAAACUUUUGAAAUUGAGUGUGAUGCUUCAGGUAUAGGUAUUAGAGCUGUUUUGAUGCAAGAAGGGCGUCCAAUUGCUUACUUUAGUGAGAAAUUGAGUGGAGCAGCCCUAAAUUAUCCUACCUAUGACAAGGAGAUGUAUGCAUUGGUGCGAGCAUUGGAAACUUGGCAACAUGAUCUUCUACCUAAAGAGUUUGUUAUACACACCAAUGACGAGUCCUUGAAGCAUUUGAAAGGGCAAGGUAAGUUGUAUAAGAGACAUGCCAAAUGGGUUGAAUUUAUUGAGCCAUUUCCUUAUGUGAUCAAAUACAAACAAGGUAAGGAGAAUGUGGUGGCUGAUGCAUUAUCUAGAAGAUAUGCACUUAUCUCUACAUUAAAGAAUUAUAUGUUAAUGAUCCUGAUUUUGGUAAUGUGUUUAAUGCUUGUGAGAAAGUUUCAUUUGGUAAGUUCUAUAGGCAUGAUGGGUUCUUAUUUAGAGAAAAUAAAUUGUGUGUGCCUAAUAGUUCAUUGCGUGAAUUGCUUGUGCGUGAAGCUCAUGGGGGAGGUUUAAUGGGACAUUUUGGCAUUGCAAAGACUUUAGAUGUUUUAAAAGAACAUUUCUUUUGGGCACAUUUAAAACAUGAUGUUGAAAGAAUAUGUGAGAAGUGUAUCACUUGUAAACAUGCUAAGUCUAGAGUUUUACCCCAUGGAUUGUAUAACCCUCUGGGUAUGAACCUUGGGUUGAUAUUUCUAUGAACUUUGUUUUGGGUUUACCUAGGUCAAAAAGGGGAAAAUAUUUUGUUUUUGUUGUUGUUGAUAGGUUUUCAAAGAUGGCACAUUUCAUUCCACGUCACAAAACUGAUGAUGUAACAAACAUAGCUAAUUUAUUUUUCAAGGAAAUAAGGAGCAUAGUUUCAGAUCGAUAUGCUAAGUUCUUGAGCCACUUUUGGAAAACUUUGUGGGGUAAGUUGGAUACUAAACUUUUGUUUUGUACUACUUGUCAUCCACAAACUGAUCGACAAACUGAGGUUGUAAAUAGCACUCUAUCUACUUUAUUGCGUGCCAUUAUUCAAAAGAACUUGAAAACUUGGGAAGAAUGUUUGCCACAUGUUGAAUUUGUUACAAUAGAACUGUCCAUUCAGCUACUAAAUUUUCACUAUUUGAGAUUGUAUAUGGUUUUAAUCCAUUAACUCCUUUGGAUUUCUGCUGUACCGUACAUCCGCCUUGGCCGUACAGCAGUGAUGAUGUGUUUCCAAAUGAAGUCCCUAAUGGUUUGCCACCUAUUAGGGGAAUUGAGCAUCAAAUAGACUUAGUCCCUGGAGCUAGCAUUCCUAAUAGACCCGCAUAUAGAAGUAACCUUGAGGAGACAAAGGAGCUUCAAAGGCAAGUUGAAGAACUCUUGGCAAAGGGAUAUGUGAGGGAGAGCAUGAGUCCAUGUGCGGUACCAGUUUUACUAGUGCCCAAAAGUGCACCAUUAACUGAAAUUGUGAAGAAACAUGUGGGAUUUAAGUGGGGUAGUGAACAAGAAAGGGCAUUUAAUCUAAUUAAGGAGAAAUUGGUUUCUGCACCAUUACUCGCUUUACCCGAUUUUGGUAAAACUUUUGAAAUUGAGUGUGAUGCUUUAGGUAUAGGUAUUAGAGCUGUUUUGAUGCAAGAAGGGCGUCCAAUUGCUUAUUUUAGUGAGAAAUUGGGUGGAGCAGCCCUAAACUAUCCUACCUAUGACAAGGAGAUGUAUGCAUUGGUGAGAGCUUUGGAAACUUGGCAACAUUAUCUUCUACCUAAAGAGUUUGUUAUACACACUGAUCAUGAGUCCUUGAAGCAUUUGAAAGGGCAAGGUAAGUUGCAUAAGAGACAUGCCAAAUGGGUUGAAUUUAUUGAGCCAUUUUCCUAUGUGAUCAAAUACAAACAAGGUAAGGAGAAUGUGGUAUCUCUACAUUAAAUGCAAAGUUGUUAGGAUUUGAGUACAUUAAAGAAUUAUAUGUUAAUGAUCCUGAUUUUGCUAAUGUGUUUAAUGCUUGUGAGAAAGUUUCAUUUGGUAAGUUCUAUAGGCAUGAUGAGUUCUUAUUUAGAGAAAAUAAAUUAUGUGUGCCUAAUAGUUCUUUGCGUAUCGGCGUGCGUGAAGCUCAUGGGGGAGGUUUAAUGGGACAUUUUGGCAUUGCAAAGACUUUAUAUGAAACAUGAUGUUGAAAGAAUAUGUGAGAAGUGUUUUACUUGUAAACAUGCUAAGUCUAGAGUUUUACCCCAUGGAUUGUAUAACCCUCUGGCCAUACCUAGUGAACCUUGGGUUGAUAUUUCUAUGGACUUUGUUUUGGGUUUACCUAGGUCAAAAAGGGGAAAUGAUUAUGUUUUUGUUGUUGAUGAUAGGUUUUCAAAGAUGGUUAUGGUUUUAAUCCAUUAACUCCUUUAGAUUUAUUACCUUUGCCUAUUGAUGAGCGUGCUAGUAUGGAUGGUAAAAAGAAAGCUGAAUUUGUGAAGCAAUUGCAUGAGAGAACACAUCAACACAUAGAAAAGAGAACUGAACAAUAUACUACUCAAGCCAACAAAGGACAUAAGCAAGUUGUUUUUCAGCCUGGAGAUUGGGUUUGGGUGCAUAUGAGAAAGGAGAGGUUCCCAGCACAAAGGCGUUCCAAGUUGCUUCCAACGGGAGAUGGUCCAUUUCAAGUGGUUGCACGAAUAAAUAACAAUGCCUACAAAUUGGAUCUUCCUGGUGAGUAUAAUGUGAGUGCUACUUUUAAUGUUUCUGAUCUUUCUCUUUCGAUGUAGGUGAAGAUUCGAGGACGAAUACUUUUCAGGAGAGGGGGAAUGAUGAGAACCAUCAAGGGAAUACCAUAAAAACUUCAAGUAAUCCUUUGCACAUUCAUGGAGGUCCAAUUACAAGAGCAAAAGCCAAAAAGAUGCAAGCUGCUUUAAAUGGAUUAAUUGAGAAAAUAUGGAUUGAAAAUGUAAUUCAAGAUGCAAGACAUCAUGAAUUGGGCUUGAAGAGAAGACAAGGCAUUGUGGGCAUUAUUCAAGUUAUUGGGCAGUCAAAUACACAAUUUGUAUCAAAUGCAGAAAGGUCAAAUUCGGAAUACAAACUGUAUUGAUUGAGCCAGAAGUAAUGUGCAAUCUAUAUACCGUUAGAAAGAUAAUUAAGUUAGCUUUCCAAUAAAUUUUGUAGAGCUGGAUUUGGAGUUUUCUAGAAGGAGUUAUGACCAAUGCAUUACAGCUUGUUCAGACUUGAGAUUUUCAACGACUCCUUUGUUUUUCAACUUCAUUUGUUUGUUUUGUUUCAAGUUUGUCAAUGUGUAAGGUAAGUCUACCAUCAAUGAUGGUGGGCUAACAUUAAGUUUGUCAAUGAUAGCAUUAAUUAUAGUAGGCUAGCAUUAAUUAUGGUGGGUUGGUAAAGACUUUUGAAACAUCCUUUGACAAACCUACUUGGAGGGUUGUUCCAAUGUUUCCAUUUGUAUUUUUAGGAUCUUGGGUUUCUUUUAGCCUAUUUAAAUUCAGCAACCUUGUAUGUAAUAAUAUUAGAGAUUAAUGUUAUUUGAAUUUGAAAGAUUAUUCUUUCUUUGGUUUUUAGCCUAUUUAAAUUCCACUCACCUUCUCAUCUAUUUCUUGAGUGUGGCAUCAAAAUCAUUCUCUAUACCUUUGGUUCAUGUUUUCUUCAGCAUUGGGUCAAGGUUUUGUUUGUCAUAAAUCUAUUUAGAACUUUCUUGGGAAGGUGAAACUACAAAUUAAGUGUGGGUUUCAAAGUUUCAUUGUGGGAUUCGCAUCAGGAUGAAUUCUCCUUAUAAAGGAAAAUUCAAUGCUGAUGCCCUAUCCUCUUUUUCAAAAGCAAAAGCGAAAGAUUCCCGACAGGACGUGACCCCUAUCUUUUGGAAUUUAGCUGAAGAUAAAGCAAAAGGAAGAUGCUUUAAAGUAAAGCAAACACUUUGCUUUUACGAAAGCAAAAGCAAUUAUUACAAAGUAAAGAGUUCUCAAAAGCUGAUAGAUUGUCAACAUCACUAUCAACUUCUCCAAAUGGCACUUGCCACCACUGCAAGUUUUCAUAAUAUGGUCUGGUAGGUGAGCCUGUUGGUGAAUCUGUCAUCAUCAGUAGAACAGUACUUGUAGAGGGUGCAUGUGAAUCUGUUGGUGGGGUUGUGUUCGAGAAGUGAGCAUGGGAGCUUCAGAAGGAUGAAGGAUUGAAGUGAAUUCUUCCCAUGGGUCUUGCGAAUCUUGAAACAUGAUAUCUGUAAAAUCAUGCUUUUCUUCUUUGAUCAAAAUUCCAGUGGGAGGAGGAUUACUGGAUGUAGGUGAUCUGAUAGUUGGGAUAGUCAUGAGUUCAUGUUUUGGUCCAAGGGAGGUGUGCUGGAUGUCAGUAGGAGGGGACUGGACAUUGUUUAACUCAAAGAGGUAUUGUUUUAGGGCAGAGACAAGGUUUGGGUCAUGAUCCAGAGGAAAACUAUGAAGAACAGUUUUCAAUUCUUAAGCUUGGUCCUGAGUCCAAAAAGGUUUGGUAACGGGGUGUUGGAAAUAAGGACGAUGGAUAAUGAAGACGGAGGUGAACUGUUCUCCUUCCUUGUCAGGGAGGAGAUUGAUAUGGUGAUCCUUGAUGAUGGAGUCAAGUUGUUUUCUCCACCAAGAGAGAGGAGAAAACCAUUCAAAGAGUGUCCAUGUGAGAGAAUGAGCCUGGUGAUGAGAACCAUCAAGGGAAUACCAUUAAAGCUUCAAGUGAUCCUUUGCACAUUCAUGGAGGCCCAAUUACAAGAGCUAGAGCCAAAAAGAUGCAAGCUGCAUUAAAUGGAUUAAUUGAGAAAAUAUGGAUUGAAAAUGCAAUUCAAGAUGCAAUACAUCAUGAAUUGGGCUUGGAGAGAAGACAAGGCAUUAUGGGCAUUAUUCAAGCUAUUGGGCAGCCAUAUACACAAUUUGGAUCAAAUGAAAAAAUGGCAAAUUCAGAAUUAAUGUGCAAGCUAUAUACGUUGGAAAGAUAAUUAAGUUAGCUUUCCAAUGCAUUUUUACAGAGUUGGAUUUGGAGUUCUCUAGAAGGAGGUAUGAUCAAUUUUUUACAGCUUGUUCAGGCUUGGGAAUUCAAACGACUCCUUUGAUUAUUCAACUUCAUUUAUUUAUUUUGUGUCAAGUUUAUCAAUGUGUUAGGUAAGUCUACCAUUGAUGAUGGUGGGCUAGCAUUAUGUUGUUAAUGCUAACAUUAAUAAUGGUGGGAUGGUGAAGGCUUUUAAAGCACCCUUUGACAAACCUAUACUUGGAGGGUUGUUCCAAUGUUUCCAUUUGUAUUUUUAGGAUCUUGGGUUUCUUUUAGCCUAUUUAAACUCAGCAACCUUGCUAUGUAUGACAAUUAAGAGAUUAAUGUUAUUUGAAUUUGAAAGAUUAUUCUUUCUUUGGUUCUUUUGAGAACUAGUGAACUUAUCAAGAAUUUGCAUUCUUGUGGUGUUCUAAAUUUAGACUUAUCACUCACCUUCUCAUCUAUUUCUUGAGUGUGGCGUCAAUAUCAUUCCCUAUACCUUUGGUUCAUGCUUUUCUUAAGCAUUGGGUCAAGGUUUUGUUUGUCAUAAAUCUGUUUAGAACUUUCUUGGGAAGUUGAAACUACAAUUUAAGUGUGAGUUUCAAAGUUUCAUUGUGGGAUUUCGUAUCACCUGGUUUGGCUCUAUGAGGCAUCGAAACAUUGUUUGUACUGGGAAGACAAGUUUGGUGGCGUAUAAGACAGUAAGGCACCAUAUAUACCACAAUUCGUCUUCUGUGACAUCCCUGGAAGGAUUGAUUUUUAGGCCUGUAAGGAAGAGGUGAUUCGGAUGAAAACUUGGGAAUCCGGUUAUCUGGGUGCGAUAGAUAUUCAUGAAAUAUCGAAAAACAAACUUCUUUGCAAAAUCUUGGAUUUGGUAAGGACUAGAGAAAGUGAGAUUACAAAGAAAAGAUUUUUUUUGUCAAAGUUGUGUUGGGAAGAGAAGAAGCCAUGAAUAUGACUGGGACUGAAGGAAAAGAGACUCUUAGAGAUGAAGAUGAAGGUCUGGACAAGAGAUCAGGGAUGAGGUUCUGGUCUCCUUUUAUAUUUUGAAAACCAAGUUUUGAGUCGGAGGAGGUGUUUGUUUGGGAGGACCUUAUUCUUGAAUUCAAGGAUUUUUAGGAAAGAGGAAUUGUCUAAUCUGACAAGGAAAUUAUGGCCAAUAAGAUGAAAUCCAAUUUUUUGAAUCCCAUAUUUAACGGCUAGAAUCUCUUUGUAGAUCACAUGAUAAUGUUUUUUUGACCUUUGAAUUGUCCACUAGCAUGGGCACAGUAAGAUUCUUUACCGUCAUGGUUUUCUAAAAGGACGGCCCUCAGUAUUCAUCACUCGUAUCAAUCUGUAGAAUACGCUGACCAUCAAUGGGGAUUCUCAAAGGAGGUGGAUGCUGGGCGAUGCUUUUAAGAUGUUGGAUGGCAGCAGUCUGAGAGGGACCCCAUGGUGGGGCUGAUUUUCUAAGCAUUUUUGAAAGCUGACUGGUAUGAACUGCUACAUGUAGAAAGAAUUCCCGAAGGUAAUUGAUAAUACCAAGGACUUGUUGAAUCUGCUUUUUUGACAAAUGUUCAUCUGGAAAAUGAAUGAGUUCCUAGACUCUGUGUGGACCAGGACUAUAGUAUCCAUCUUUUAGAGUCAUGCCAAGAAAGGUAAUAGUGUUUUGGCCUAGGACACUCUUUUUGUUAGACAACAUUAUGCCAUAUGUUUCCACUAUCUCAAGAAAGUGGGAAAGUAAUUGUUGGUGGGAAUCAUGAUCUUUGGAAAAUAAUAGCACGUCAUCUAUGUAGAUAAGUGCAUGAUGAAGGCUCAGUUCAAAGAUCUUGAUCAUGGCCUUUUGGAAAAGUGAGGGGGCUACCUUAAGGCCAAAUGGCAUUACUUUCCAUUGGUAGUGGGCAUUUGGAAUGCAAAAAGAUGUUUUAGGUCUAUCAUCAGGGUGGAUUCCUAAUUGCCAGAAACCUGCCUUAAGGUCAAAUUUUGAGAAGACCUUAGCAUUUUGGAUAUGGACGAAUAAGGAUUGGAUUUUUGGCAAAGUGAACUUAUCGUCUCUGAGAAAACAAUUGAGAGGCUGGGAAUCAAUAACAAGACAUUUUUUUCCUCUAACUAUUUCAGACAUUUUUUCCACAUAAAAAGCUUGACAAGCCCAUUCUGAAUUUGUGGGCUCAAUAAGGCCUUGUUUCAGCAAUUGGGAACAUUCUUCUUGGGCUAGUUUCAGGUCGGUCGGAGUCAUUCCUGGAUGGGUAGCCUUGGCUGGGUUAAUGUCUUCGUUAAGCUUAAAAGGAAGCUUAAUGAAGAAGUUUUCAUUUUUCCAGAGAGGGGUAGGAUGAAGAAAUUGACUAUGACUUUCUGGACAAUGAAGAAGAAAACUGGAUUUGAGAGGAUCAUAUGAAGGAGGAGAGCUUGAGAUCGAGAACAAUUUCAGGGAAUCUGUUAGAAAACCAUGACGGUAAAUUUCUUCAUCCUAUGAUCCUCUCAAAUGAUCCUUGUUUCAGCCAACGGGCUUUUUGGUAAUCAAAUCUGUGUGAAAUAAUUCUCCAUUGGCUGCCUUGAAAUAUUCUGUAUGCUUUUCCCAAGAAUGGGAUGGAAGGAUUGAGGGGUUAAGCAUACUCUUCUGAGCUCCAGUAUAAACAAAACCAAUGAUGGGAAUUGGUUUUUCAAAUUUUCUAGAGAGAAGGUGGAUUUUGAUUGAAGGGAUGGGAAUGGCUGGUUGGACUUUCUGAAUUUGUUGAACAGUUUUAAAUACAGAAAUAUGUUCUGACUCAGAAUAAUCUUCUUUUUCAGUAAGAACAAAAGCUGUUUGUUCAUCAUAAUCUUCUUGUUCAUAAAAGAAGGAUUUAACAUCAUCACUUUCUAAAAGUAACAUGGAAUCCUAGAGAUGCUCAAUAAGCCUGACAGACUUUGCUGGUCUGUUUGGAUAAUUUCUCGCGAAAUGCCUUUUCUUUUUACAGAUAAAACAACGACAGCUCUUGGAUUUAGAGGACUGCUCAGGGUUCUUUUUUCUGAAAAAUCGAUAAGGUUUUUUGGAUCUGGAAGGUGUAUGGCUUUUCUUUUCUGAAUUUCAGAAUUUUCGGAAGUGGGAUUUCUUUUUGGUUGAGCAAGUGCAAUCCUUCUCACUUUUGCACUGAAUGGAAAGGUGGGGUUUUUGCACGCACUUUUAAAAGGUUGUUUGUUUUCUAUGAGGUCUUUGAAGAAUUCCUUCUGUUCAUAGAGUCUUUCCAAACAGUUCAUUGCUAAUUGAUAGAUUUUUCCCAAGGAGAGGUUGGCUAUAUCCAGCUGGUGGAUUGUGAUUUAUUUCUGAAGUUUUGGUUGAAUCUCCUUCGGAAGAGAUGCUACAAAGACAUGUUUUUAUGAGGGAUCAUUAAAACCGUUUGAGCUUGUAAUACAUUGUAGACAUUCUCUUGUAGUGAAAAUCUAGAUCUUUAAUUUGGAGAGAACAUCACUUCAUUAAAUGGAAUUCUCGUCUGGUUUGUUUAUUAGCAGCUAUAGCUUCUCCAAGGAACUGCUCAUAAAUUACUCCUAGGACUUUUGAAAUCUUUGCUUGAAUUACUUGAAGUUGACGGUAUGGACCUAGACUUUCAAACCAAUCUCGUAAGGAUCCAAUGAAACGAGAACUGAACUCCUUAAGGACUGUUUGGGUUGUUGCUCCAGUUCUGAGCAUUUGACCAUCAAUCCAGGCAGAACAUUCUUGAAAUCUGGCUGGCCAUUUUACUCUUGGAAUGUCAUCAAAGGUAAACCAAGGGCCAUUGGAAGGUUUAGGAGGAGAAUUUUCUUAAUGAGGUGUAGGGUUGGUAUUAGAAUUUGCUUCCUCAACUAUAGGUGUUUGAGGAGGAGAGGAUGGGGAAGGUUUAUUUGAUCCUGUUGAUGGCUGGACCAUGAGGAGUUUGGAAACAUCUACUAAUUCUUUUUCAGAAUCUGAAGUAGAAAAGGAUUCUUCGUCUGUAGAGAUUUCUUCUGUUUGGGAUGGAGAAGUUUCAUAUGAUUCUGAAAGAUAUGGUAGAACUUGGGAUGAGUAUUGGUGCAUUAGUUCUUUGUUCUUCUGAGUAGAUUGAGGUUCUGGAGAAGGCUGUGGAUCAUUGGGUUGGUGGUAAGUUGGAGGUGAUUCAGGCUUAGGAGGUUUAGUCCGUGGUUUUGGAGGAGCAUGAGUUGGAGCAUGCUUAAGGUGGGACAGAACAAAGAAUUUGGCAUAAUCUACAAGUUGUCAUGAGGUGGAUGGUGUGUAUAAAGGUUGGUAAGUACUGAAAGUUGGGGUGUAUAAGGGUAACGCAGGGGAUUUUGCAAACAAUGAAGGUUGUUAUUUGUCAGCAUCAAUCCUGGCAAGUUCAGCUUUCAACUGCCUAAUCUUUGCUUCGUUUUGGUUGAAUUCAGGACCCCAAUAUCUAUUUUGAAUCAUGGAUCGAAGAUCUGAGUCAAGUUGGGAGACUCAAUUUUGCAUGUCAAAAUACAUAUGUUCGAGCUGGGUUGUUAUCUUGUUAACCUUUGUGUUAGUUUGCUUGACCUGAGAAGCGACUUUCUCUAUUUUUUCAUCAAGAGAUCUAAAGGUUGAGUUCUGUGCCCUAGCAUUUUGAGUUUGCCAGUUUAGAACAGCUUUGAAAGUCUUUGGUUCCUCAAGCUGGCCAUUUGGUGUAACAGGGGAAUGGACAAAAGGUUUGGUGGUGACCUUUGUCUGGGGAUCAGUCUAUUUUUCUAGAGGAGGAAAUUGCUCAUGAUAGGAGCUUGAUGAGAACAUCAUGCAAGACUGAAUGGGUGUUGGAUGUGGCACGAGCUGUGGCACAAGCUGGGUUGCCUUUUGUCUGCAAGGUUUUUGACUAUACUCCUUCUGUAUGAGUCUCAGGCCUUUCCUAUAAAUAGGCAAAGGCGUUAAACCAUCUGGAUCAUCAAGUGGUAAAGGAGGUUUUUUAUUGCAAGGAUCCAUUUUGUGACUUUUCUUUUUACGCCGUCUAGGACAUCUGUUGAAAUCAUCAUCAUCAUUAUCAUCUUCCUCUUCAAGGCAAGGAAAAUCUGGAUCACACAUACGGGACCCUAGAAUGUCUCAUAAGAAAUUACCAUUGAUUUUUUCUGGGUAGAUCGGAUAGCCAUUUGGGGCAAAUUCAUGGAUGGGAAUAUUUUCUUGUGCCGUUGAUACGGCUGUGAUCAUGGAGGAGUAUGAAAAGGAGUUUCUGGGUGUGGAUUGUUCAGAGGGUGGAUGAGAGACUAUAGGUGGUGUCUGGGAAGUGGAUGGUGACUGAAAAAUGAAUUUUACUGUUCCAUUUGAUGAGAACCAUCAAGGGAAUACCAUUAAAAGUUCAAGUGAUCCUUUGCACAUUCAUGGAGGCCCAAUUACAAGAGCAAGAGCCAAAAAGAUGCAAGCUGCUUUAAAUGAUUAAUUGAGAAAAUAUGGAUUGAAAAUGCAAUUCAAGAUGCAAGACAUCAUGAAUUGGCCUUGAAGAGAAGACAAGGCAUUGUGGGCAUUAUUCAAGUUAUUGGGCAGCCAAAUACACAAUUUGUAUCAAAUGCAGAAAGGCAGACUUGGGAUUUUCAACGACUCCUUUGUUUUUCAACUUCAUUUGUUUGUUUUGUUUCAAGUUUGUCAAUGUGUAAGGUAAGUCUACCAUCAAUGAUGGUGGGCUAACAUUAAGUUUGUCAAUGAUAGCAUUAAUUAUAGUAGGCUAGGAUUAAGUUUGUCAAAGAUAGCAUUAAUUAUGGUGGGUUGGUGAAGACUUUUGAAACAUCUUUGGACAAACCUACUUGGAGGGUUGUUCCAAUGUUUCCAUUUGUAUUUUUAGGAUCUUGGGUUUCUUUUAGCCUAUUUAAAUUCAACAACCUUGCUAUGUAAUGGGAUUGGAGAUUAAUGUUAUUUGAAUUUGAAAGAUUAUUCUUUCUUUGGUUCUUUUGAGAACUAGUGAACUUAUCAAGAAUUUGCAUUCCAAAUUUAGACUUAUCACUCACCUUCUCAUCUAUGUCUUGAGUGUGGCGUCAAUACCAUUCUCUAUACCUUUGGUUCAUGUUUUCUUAAGCAUUGGGUUAAGGCUUUUGUUUGUCUUAAAUCUAUUUAGAACUUUCUUGGGAAGUUGAAACUACAAAUUAAGUGUGGGAUUGAAAGUUUCAUUGUGGGAUUCGCAUCACCAUUUGUUCUUUUUUCAAAGUGAGCAUCAAUUGUUUGGACCGGCUGAGAGUUUUGAUAGAAUUUUACAUAAUUGGAUAGCCAUUCUAGGGGCAUGAGCUUAAGAAGUUCCUGUUUUUGAAUUUGCCUAGGGAUCUGAACUAUGGAAGGGAUGCUUUCUGAGGAGUCUGCAAGGAUCAUCAGUGCAUCUGAUGUGGUUUGAGGUAUGGAAAGAUCAAGAGCAUGAUUUUAGAGGCGGUAUACCAGUUGAUGGUGUAAGGUUGCCAUUUUUGAGGAGGCUGUUUGUUCAGCUCCUUGGAUCUGGGUCUGGACCUUUAGAGUAGUGGGGAGGUUUGGAUCAUCUAGUGAGAGGUUGAAAUGUGGGUAAAAGGUCAAAAGAACACUUCCUGCAUGCAGAGUAGUCAGGAUUGUUCCUAUGAUUGCAUGUUGAUAUUCCUUGAAACGGGUAAGGCUAAUCUGGUUGUGGCAGGUAAGGCUUUUCUCCCGUGAAGGGUGAGAAUCAAACGAACGCCUCCAAGAUGGAGGUGUGUGUAUCCUUCUCUUUUCCACUGGACAACAAGGUGGAAUUUCAAGGGUAACAUAUUGUUCUACUUGUGAUGCUUGAAGAGCACACUGAUCCAGCCUGGAAGACUAGAUAUAUUCCUUUGGAGCUGGCCUUUUGGUUGAAAUGAGAGUUCUAAAACUUCUGGUGAAGGAAUUAGAUCUUUGGUAUAGCUUAUAUGGGCUGAUUAGGGGCAUAGAGGAUUCACUGAUCUGGGCCGACUCUGGAACAUACGAAUAUUCCACAAGGUUUUCUAUUUUCGAGGCUAGGUGUUUAUAAUAUGAUUUUGGGAGAGAAAGAGUAGAAGAAAGAGUAACAUGAGCAAGAUUAUCUAUAUUAUUUGAAGAAGAUGCCGUUUUGUUUUAGUAUUUCCUUUAUUUCCUAUUCAGGACGAAUAGAUCUCAUAUUUACCACUUCAUUUUAAUGAAAAGUAUUAUGCUCAAAGAUAGAAAAUAAUUGUAUGUGGCUUGUUAUACUAGCAGUGCAAACUGAUAUAGACCAUCAUAAUAUAUGUCACUGGUUUCCUGCCAAUAUACAAUAAUAUUCUAGCCUGUGAACAAAAAGUUUUGUUUGGCUUAGAGAUUUGAAAUGGCAUAAAUUUGAUGAGACUAUAUUGACCCCAAUCAACACUCUCAUUUUACAAAUUUGACAAGAGAAUAAAGAAUCUUGCUUAUUCCAAACUCUAAAGCUAGUCAAGAUGGCAAUGGAAAGUAGGGACUAGGGUAAGCAUUGUGAAUUUCACAAUGAUAAGGCCUAUUCAACCAAUGAAUGUGGAUUAUGGAGGAUCCAAAUUGUGUACAUUCUUUGACAAGGCAACUUAUAAAAAUAUCGUUGAAUUAAGAUCUGAAGUCAAAAUCACCAAAUCCUCUAAAUACUAAGGAGAAGAUGUUUGAUUUGGAGGAAAACUCAACCAAAUCAACUAUGGUUGGCUCUAUAAAUGGGCUUUGGAGGAUUAUAAUUUAGAGAAUUAUUCCUCAGAAGAAGAGAUGCUAGCAUAUUUGAAUACAAACAGUUUAGAAGAGAAUUUGUCUCAACCAAUAAUUAAUAUGAUUCAUGGUUCCAUUAAUGACUAUUUGAAGAAUCUAAAAAACAAAGAGUUGGUUUAGAUGGCUCAAAAAAUAAUGCAAUUAACUCUAAAUAAACUACAUUAAGCAACCGUUCAUAGCAAGCCUAUUAUAGAACUAAGUAGACAAAGUUGGAGAGCAAAAUAUGGAAGAGUAGCAAAAGUACAAGAAUUUGGCAUAUUGGCUGUAAUGUCAAUCUCAAAAGAUUUCACCCAAGUCAUCAUCACAAGAAAGGAUUUGGAAGGCAUCUACAUGCUUUAUAUUGAUCUAUUGGUUUUAGUCUCUCGAUUGUAGACAUUCAUAUUUGGCAUAUUUUGAUCGAUGAAGAAAGUAAUGUGAAAAUCCUAUACUAGGUUGUUUUCAAGAAUAUGAAGCUAAGUAAAAACGACGUAUGGGACAGCUAAGCCCCGAUGGUAGCAAUAAAGCAAGACUAGUAGCAAAAUGGAUUAUCAAUUUACCAAUACAGCUUGGGAAUAAAAUGUUGAAUACUAAUCUUUUGGUGGUGGAGGCACCAUCAAUCGACAAUGCCAUCUUGGGCCACCAUUAGAUUCAUUACAUGGAACCAGUUCCUUCAACCUUACAUCAAGUUAUAAGAAGCAUGUUUUAUUAGAACAACAAAUCCUUUGAUGAAAGCCAUCAUCCAUAAUUCAAGAAUAUUCAUGUUGUAUAAUCAAGAAUCAAUAACAGAAUAUGCGAAGCAUACCUGAAUCUAUAGUGCUUGAUUGCUCUUUUGAGUCGUGUGGUUUGUCUUCUAAAUUAACACGUUCCUCUAGAGAAUCUUUUAAGUUUCUCUAUGCUCUUCUUUGAUGAUGGGAUGCCAAAAAGACUAGAAUAAUGCAUGUGACCUACGGACCAUAACCAUUUAUAUAGACAACUUUUCCUAUUGUCUUUAGGUAUUCCUAUUUCAGCCCAUCAUAAGUGUCUACACAUUAAAGACACACACCCUAUUAAAUACAUUGAAGCUUAUACUACCAUAAAUCUUAAUAGGUUAUUUUUAAUUGGGCUUAACCUUAUUCACAUAUAAGUCUAACACUGGAUUAAGUAUCCAACAAAACUAGAUUAAAGAUCCAACAAUAUCACACUUGGGCUAUAUAUGUAACUUUAUAAUUAUGUUUUGUAUAAAUAACUAUAUGAGCUGAACUUUACUGUCAGUAUCAAAAUGUAUCUACAACCAAUCUGAUCUAUCAAUCAUACCAACAUAUGAUCAAAGCAGCCUUUGUUACAAUUAUUUUAACUUGACCCAUCAAAGGUCACUUUGCCAAUACAAUUAAAUGACAUGGAUAAUGAUGUGGAUGUGUAGCAUAAAAAUUUCAUGCAAUAUGAUCUUAACCUGCCUAUUCCAACUAGUCCACUUUAAAUCUUAGUGAGACCAAACCACAUUAAAAUCAGAGUGUAAAUAAACCAAAACUUUAUUUUUGUAGAAAAUUACCUGAAAUAUCCAUAAAUUGAAAUAACUGAAAAAAUUUCUAUAUUGUAAGAGAAUCUAAAAUUACAAACUGCCACUAGAACUGAAUAUCUUUUAAUAACACAACAUCCAUACUAGCAAUGUGCUCAUGACUUAUCUUAGGUGGCAAUCCCUUAGUAAACAGAUUUUCAAUCAUCAAGUUUGUGUCGAUGUGUUCUAUAAACAACUGUUCAUUUUGAACUCUUUCUUUAACAAUUAGGAACUUGAUGUCUAUAUAUAUCGACUUCGUCGAGCUCCUGUUGUUAUUGGAAUACAGCAUUGCUGACUUAUUGUAUAACUUGAGUGGUCUAUCAACACCAUCUACUAUACGCAACCCUAUGAAAAAAUUAUGUAGCCAUAUUCCGUGAUUGGAUGCUUCAUAACAUGUUAUGAACUUUGCUGUCAUCAUGGAUGAUACUACAAGAGACUGUUUAACAUUCUUUCAAGAGACAAUACCCUUAACUAGUAAAUAAACGUGGCUCGACGUGGACUUUAUAUUAUCUUGUCAUCUAGUAAAAUCAGAGUUAGUAUAGCCAAUGAUCUCAAGCGAGUUCGACCUCUGAUAUAUGAGUUCUCUAUAAGUAUCGCAUGAUCCAUUUGUCUACUUUCCAAUGGUCUACUCUUGGAUUACUUAAAUAUCUACGUAAUAGCCCAAUAACGUACAUAAUAUUCAGUUGGGUGCAAACCUAAGCAUACCUUAGACUUCCUAUUACUAACAUAUAAGGAAUCUUCUGUAUUUAUAGCUUAUCUCCAUUAACAACAAGGGUAUCACCUGGUUUGCAAUUUUGCGUGCCAUAUCCCUUGAGAAUCGCUUCGAUAUAGCUUUUUUGUGAUAAUUCAAGAGUACAUCGGGAGUGAUCCUAGUGUAUCUAUAUAGUACUACUCACCAAGAUCUUUCAUCUCAAAAUUCUUAGCUAAAAAUCUCUUGGUGUCAUGUAAUAGCCUAUAUCAUUACUGGUAAGCAAAAUGUCACCGACAUAUAAAACCACAAAAAUAUGCUUGCUCUCACAAUAUUUAUGGUAUAAAACCGAAUAUGAAAUAUCAACAAGGCAACCCAAGAGGGGGGUGAAUUGGGUUUCUAAUAAUUUUAUCAACUAAGAGCCUUAAUGCAAUUUAAAUAAAGCAAUCAAUUUCAAAAUAGACAAAUAAAUGUGCAAUAAAAAAUAAAAAGGUCGGAUAAGAGAGAACAAACACGUGAUUUUUACGUGGUUCGGCCAACCGUGCCUACGUCCACGCCUCCAAGCUCACCGGGCUUAAGGAUUUUACUAAGCAAGCCUUCAAGGCUUCAACCACACUUACAAUUGACUUACAAGUGUAUCCCAAUCUCUUAACCCAAGUGUAUCCCAACACUUACAAUCAUUCAAAGAUAAAGAUUACAAAUAAAUUUUCUCUCAAAUGAUAGCUCAAAGUGUGAAUAAAUGAAAUAAAAUCAUGUUUGAAGCUCAAUAAUAGUUGUGUACUCAAUAGUAAGCUCAAUGAUAACUGUUGGAUCUUAUUUUGUUUGAAUUUGAUUCGGUCAUUUUAUAGUUGGAACUGAAAACUAGCCGUUAUUGACUUCCUGCACACAAUUGGAUCGCCGUUUUACAUUUAUCGAAUAGCCGUUUGACUGAGGAAGUGACAUUGUGCCAAAAUUCAAAUUGUCAAAUCACCGUUAUCAAGAUGUCCGCUUAUCGUUAUCGCUCUAGAAUCCUGUCAAAAGAUAUCGGUUAUCCGUUUGACAUAAACAGUUUACCGUUUGCAAGAUGAUUGCUCUCUGGACUGUUAUCGGUUUACUGUUAUCAAUAAACAGUUUGCCAUUAUCUAAAAUUUGCUCUCUGGAAUGCAAAUCGGUUCUCCGUUAUCCAUAAACGAAUUUUCGUUGUCUGAAACUUGCUCUCUGGAAUGCAAUCGGUUCACCGUUAUCAAUAAAAAGUUUGUCGUUAUCUAAGAUUUGCUCUCUGAAAUGCUAUCAGUUUACCGUUUUCUAAUAAAUGGUUCACUGUUUUCUUAGAUUUUAUCAAUGAUCCAAUUAACAAAAUGUUUCAAUCUUAUCAAUUUAACAAUAUAAGUUAACAAUCUCUCCCUUUUUUAUGAUGACAAACAUUACAAGAUUAUGCAAAUUUACUUUGCCUAAGUAUGUGCUUCCCCUUAGUAUAUGGCCAAUUAAUUUUCUAACCAAAAGUAUAUGAAUCCAUUAAAAUUUUAUCAUAACAAAGAUAUAUAUAUAUAUAUAUAUAUCUUGGCCGUACAGCAGAUAUCUAUACAAAAAUUUUAAACUGUUCACUGUAGCGGAGCUUUGAGUGCACAGUAAUCUUUGAAAAUUUGCACUGUUCACUGUAGCGGGGUUUUGAGUGCACAGUAACCUUUGGAUCGUAUCUUUGAAUAGUAGAAUCUUUGUACAAGGAUUGAAAUACUAUACGGGUGAAGAGACAUGUGCGCUCUCACUUGUGUCCAGGGGACCACCCGAAAAGGAAAAUAUGUUUUUUUUUAUUAAGUAAAUAAUCAAAUUAUUAUUUACAAUGCUUUACCGGAGAGAAAAUCCCGAAACAAUCAUCUUCAUUUUCUUCUCCAAGAGAAAUAAAUGGCUCUUCAUCUUCUUCUUCUUCGUCUUCAAAAGUGUCAGCUACUGAGGACUUUGAUCUGGAAGUGAGGAGCUGUUCCAUGACUUUGAAAUACUCAUCUUCAGUUUUGGCGCUGGCCAAAAGGGAUUGGGCUUUGGACUUUUGGGUUAGGAAGAUCUGUUGGGCUUUGGGGUCUUUAAUGGUUUGAGGUAGAAAGCCUUUUGAACAAAGCCAAUCUUUAAUGAGGGGUUCUAUCAAUUUGGUUCGUUCAUCGAAUUUUGACCACCACUUGACUUUGAAAGUUCUUUGUAUGAUGAGUUGUUUUUCUUGGGUAUGAAAUUUGAAAUCCCACAUCCAUAUCCAUGGGAGGAAGAAAUUUGUACAAAACAGAGGAAGGGAGAAAACUGUUUUUCUGAAUAUGAUGGGGUAUAAUGGGCUUUAAAAAGGUUUAGACAAUGGUUGGCAUUUGGAGUUAGGAGUUGUGGUGUUGGGCCGAAAUAGUUCCACUAUUGUUGGAACCAGUUUGGAAGACUUUGGACGGUUAUUUUUGAAUUGAAGAAAAAUAACCAUGAAUGGGACUUUUUUGGGUUUUGUAAGAAAAAUGUGUUAAACCAGGCUUGUAGGUAAUCCCAAUAGGAAUAGUGAUACGAAUCCCACAAUGAAACUUUCAAUCCUACACUUAAUUUGUAGUUUCAACUUCCCAAGAAAGUUCUAAACAGAUUUAUGGCAAACAAAAACCUUGACCCAAUGCUUAAGAAAACAUGAACCAAAGGUAUAGAGAAGGGUAUUGACGCCACACUCAAGAAAAAGAUGAGAAGGUGAGUGAUAAGUCUAAAUUUGGAACACCACAAGAAUGUAAAUUCUUGAUAAGUUCACUAGUUCUCAAAAGAACCAAAGAAAGAAUAAUCUUUCAAAUUCAAAAUAACAUUCAUCUCCUUACAUACCAAGGUUGCUGAAUUUAAAUAGGCUAAAAGGAACCCAAGAUCCUAAAAAUACAAAUGGAAACAUUGGAACAACCCUCCAAGUAAGUUUGUCAAAAGAUGUUUCAAAAGUCUUCACCAACCCACCAUGAUCAAUGCUAUCUUUGACAAACUUAAUGCUAGCCUACUAUAAUUAAUGCUAUCUGCUGUACGGCCAAGGCGGAUGUACGGUACAGCAGCUUACACAUUGACAAGCUUGAAACAAAACAAACAAAUAAGUUGAAAAACAAAGGAUUCGUUGAAAAUCCCAAGUCUGAACAAGCUGUAAUGAAUUGGUCAUAACUCCUUCUAGAGAACUCCAAAUCCAACUUUGUAAAAUUUAUUGGAAAGCUAACUUAAUUAUCUUUCCAACGGUAUAUAGCUUGCAUUUUAAUUCUGGGUCAAUCAAUACAGUUUUUAUUCCGAAUUUGACCUUUCUGCAUUUGAUACAACUUGUGUAUUUGGCUGCCCAAUGACUUGAAUAAUGCCCACAAUGCCUUGUCUUCUCUUCAAGCCCAAUUCAUGAUGUCUUGCAUCUUGAAUUGCAUUUUCAAUCCAUAUUUUCUCAAUUAAUCCAUUUAAAGCAGCUUGCAUCUUUUUGGCUCUUGCUCUUGUAAUUGGGCCUCCAUGAAUGUGCAAAGGAUCACUUGAAGUUUUAAUGGUCCCUUGAUGGUUCUCAUCAAAUAGGCCAAGCAAUGUGGUAGACGCAUUUGGAAAUUUGGAGGAAAGGUUUUAAAUUUGUGGAGUUGGUCACCCCAUUGGUUUGGGCUCAAGACUUUAAGAAUAGUGGCCGUGGAAUAGGCCGGCUCAUAAUGGGUUUCACUGAGAAAGAAAUGUUUGAAUUUUACAAACUCAGUGGCUUCUAAAAUGCUUUGAUAGUAAGGCUGGGGUUUUGUUAAAUCCCAUGGUUUGAAAAACCAGCCUUUAGGAAAAAACUUUGAAAUUGCUUGGAAAGGAUUAGUGUGGUAAAAUCCAUCUUCCAUAGUUAAAACAUUUUGAAAAUGGAUUUUAUCAUACCAAUCGGAGGUUUUCUUUGAAAGAGUUGGCUGGGAAAGAACAAUCUGAGAAGACGAACUUUCACCAGAAAGAACAAUAGUUUGGCUUUAAGAAGAAGACUUUGUAAUUUCUUUAGAAGUUGGUUUUUCUUCCUCAGGGAUCUGAGAAAGGGCUUUAGAUUUUGAAAUGCCUUGUAAGGCAAGCAUAAGCUCAGGGGACCUUGUAAUGGAUUCCAUCCACUCUUUGACUUGUUGCUCAGAGGAGAUGGAUUUGUAUUGGGUUUCUUGUUGUUCUCCAACCAUUUCAAUCCAGGAUUUAAUGGGCAUGGCAGAAGAAAGCAGUUUGGAAGACUUUGGACGGUUAUUUUUGAAUUGAAGAAAAAUAACCAUGAAUGGGACUUUUUUGGGUUUUGUAAGAAAAAUGUGUUAAACCAAGCUUGUUGGUAAUCCCAAUAGGAAUAGGCCAAGCAGUGUGGUAGACGCAUUUGGAAAUUUGGAGGGAAGGUUUUAAAUUUGUGGAGUUGGUCACCCCAUUGGUUUGGGCUCAAGACUUUAAGAAUAGUGGCCGUGGAAUAGGCCGGCUCAGAAUGGGUUUCACUGAGAAAGAAAUGUUUGAAUUUUACAGACUCAGUGGCUUCUAAAAUGCUUUGAUAGUAAGGCUGGGGUUUUGUUAAAUCUCAUGGUUUGAAAAACCAGCCUUUAGGAAAAAACUUUGAAAUUGCUUGGAAAGGAUCAGUGUGGUAAAAUCCAUCUUCCAUAGUUAAAACAUUUUGAAAAUGGGUUUUAUCAUACCAAUCGGAGGUUUUCUUUGAAAGAGUUGGCUGGGAAAGAACAAUCUGAGAAGACGAACUUUCACCAGAAAGAACAACAGUUUGGCUUUGAGAAGAAGACUUUGUAAUUUCUUUAGAAGUUGGUUUUUCUUCCUCAGGGAUCUGAGAAAGAGCUUUAGAUUUUGAAAUGCCUUGUAAGGCAAGCAUAAGCUCAGGGGACCUUGUAAUGGAUUCCAUCCACUCUUUGACUUGUUGCUCAGAGGAGAUGGAUUUGUAUUGGGUUUCUUGUUGUUCUCCAACCAUUUCAAUCCAGGAUUUAAUGGGCAUGGCAGAAGAAAGUAUUUUUUCUUUAGAGGGAGUAUUUUGGGAUUCUAUGGAGUUCUUUGUAGGUUCGGUAUCUUUGAGAACAGCUUUACCUUUGUUUUUCUUCGGCGGCAUUAUCUGUUUUGCAAAAAUUCCCGAGUUAGAAAAUCAGGAACAAAAUUUGUAUCUCCUUUAAUAUAUUCAAUAUCAAAAUCAAAAACACUUAAAAUGGCUUGCCAUCGUGCAAAAAUUUGUUUUGAUGCAAUAUUUUGAACAUCUUUUUCCAAAACAUGUUUUGCAGCUUUGCAAUCAAUUCUAAGUAGAAAUUUUUGAUUUAAUAAAUCACUUUGAAAUUUUGUAAUGCAUAAAACAAUGGAAAGGAUUUCUUUUUUGAUAGUAGAAUAAUUUUUCUAGCAAUCAUUCCAAUGUGCAGAAACAUAUUGUACUAUCUGUUCUUUAUCAUUUUCUUUUUACUUUAAUAUGCCUCCAUAACCUAAAUCAGAUGCAUCAGUUUCAACAAUUUUAGGUAAUGUAGGAUUAGCAAGAUAUAAACAUGGGAUGCUUUUUACAGAAUUCUUUAUAAGCUUUACAACCUUGGUAUGUUCAUCUGUCCAAGGAACAGGUUUUUUCUUUAAUCUAUCAUGCAAAGGUUUAGACAUCCUAUUAAUGUUAGGACAGAAAUCAAGAACAUAAUUUAAACUUCCAAGAAAUCUUUGUAAUUGGGUUUUGUCAAGAAUUUUAUCAGGGAAUUUAUUUGCAAACAAAAGGGAUCGCUCGAUUGGAGUGAUUGUUCCUUUAGAAAUAUGAUAACCAAGGAAUCUGACUUUUGUUUGAAAUAAAGAAACUUUAGAACUGGAAAUUGCCAAUCCAGCCUUUCUGGUGGCAAAAUAAAAAGUCUUUAAAUNNNNNNNNNNNNNNNNNNNNNNNNNNNNNNNNNNNNNNNNNNNNNNNNNNNNNNNNNNNNNNNNNNNNNNNNNNNNNNNNNNNNNNNNNNNNNNNNNNNNNNNNNNNNNNNNNNNNNNNNNNNNNNNNNNNNNNNNNNNNNNNNNNNNNNNNNNNNNNNNNNNNNNNNNNNNNNNNNNNNNNNNNNNNNNNNNNNNNNNNNNNNNNNNNNNNNNNNNNNNNNNNNNNNNNNNNNNNNNNNNNNNNNNNNNNNNNNNNNNNNNNNNNNNNNNNNNNNNNNNNNNNNNNNNNNNNNNNNNNNNNNNNNNNNNNNNNNNNNNNNNNNNNNNNNNNNNNNNNNNNNNNNNNNNNNNNNNNNNNNNNNNNNNNNNNNNNNNNNNNNNNNNNNNNNNNNNNNNNNNNNNNNNNNNNNNNNNNNNNNNNNNNNNNNNNNNNNNNNNNNNNNNNNNNNNNNNNNNNNNNNNNNNNNNNNNNNNNNNNNNNNNNNNNNNNNNNNNNNNNNNNNNNNNNNNNNNNNNNNNNNNNNNNNNNNNNNNNNNNNNNNNNNNNNNNNNNNNNNNNNNNNNNNNNNNNNNNNNNNNNNNNNNNNNNNNNNNNNNNNNNNNNNNNNNNNNNNNNNNNNNNNNNNNNNNNNNNNNNNNNNNNNNNNNNNNNNNNNNNNNNNNNNNNNNNNNNNNNNNNNNNNNNNNNNNNNNNNNNNNNNNNNNNNNNNNNNNNNNNNNNNNNNNNNNNNNNNNNNNNNNNNNNNNNNNNNNNNNNNNNNNNNNNNNNNNNNNNNNNNNNNNNNNNNNNNNNNNNNNNNNNNNNNNNNNNNNNNNNNNNNNNNNNNNNNNNNNNNNNNNNNNNNNNNNNNNNNNNNNNNNNNNNNNNNNNNNNNNNNNUUUUUUAAAAAUAUUAUAUCACACUGUUUUGAUUUAAGUAAAUUGUUUAUUCGGUUUGAUUAACAUAACAAGCUUUAACAAUAUUUAAAUUCCUUGUUUUAGGUUUUUCAAUAAAUGGAAAAACAAGUUUUUCAUUUUUUGCUUUGAAGGAUACACUAUCAUAAUUGACAGUAUAAUGUGUUAUAAGAUUUAUAAAAGGAGUUCCCAAGAUGAUGGCAUGGUGAAUAUCCUUUGUGAGAACAAAAGAAGUUCUAAAUUCAAAACCAUUGUUAUGAAUUGAAGCUUCAACUUUAGUUUUACAUUGAGUUUUGAAUUAUUAGCGACAGAUAGUCUUUCUUUAGUUUUCUCAUGAAAUCGUUUGGGGACAAUAUCUUCCCUUAUGCAAUUUAAAUCGGCUCCAGUGUCAAAAAGGGCAAUGGCAUCAAUUGCAAAAUCAUCAGAAAAAAUUAAAGUGAUUUUAAUUAAAUAUUUUCUCGUGGUGAUUUGUUUUAAAACAAAUAGAAAAUCAUUGGGAACAGAUUCAAUGUUUUCUAAACUUUGAUCAUUAUUAUCACCAUUAUCAGAAUUGGAUUCAUUAUCUGAAUUAUCCUGUAAAUGUUUUUGCAAAAGAAGUUGGAUAGUCUCAGAAUCACUUUUUUGUUUUUCUUUUAAUUCUCUAAUCUCAGUUUUAAUGUCUUUAAUUUCUUUCUGAAGAUCUUGAAUACUGGGGGUAUUUUUCUUCGUUUUCUUUUUAUUCAAAAUCUCAGUAAGAUCAUAAGAGUUCUUUUUAACAAUUGGAACUUUAGAAGUUUCAACUUUAUUAAAAUCCAGAGUUUUCAAAAGCUUAUCAAGAUAUUCUUUUUGAAGACUUGGAUCGGAAAUAUUCUUUACGAGUUCAAAAAAAGUUUCUUGGUCUUUAGUCAAAACAUUGAUUUUCUUUAAAAAGGAAUCUGUUUCAGAUCCACUACUGCUAGAUGCAGAGGUAUCUGAGUCAAAAAGCUCAUCGACCUGAAGUGGGUCACUAUCUCCCGACAUGGAAGACUCAGAGUCUGAAGACUCUACCAUGAGAGGGGCAAUUUUGGAAAGGACUUCAUCAUCUAGGCCAAGCUCUUGGAGCUUCUUGUUCAUUCUGCAAUAUUUUGCAGUAUGGCCUUUUAUGCCACACUUAUGACAUAUGGCUUCUUUGUAAUUGAAAGGAGUAAAAGGGGUCUUUGGUUUGGCUCUAAAGUUUUUCUUUUUAGAGAAAUUGGGUUUUUUAUAAGGCCUCGAAGGUUUCUUAUAAAAAGAUUCUCUAAACUUUUGGAAUGGUUUCUUAUGGCUUUUGGAUUUGUAAUGUUUUCUGUGAGGUCUUGAAGAACAUUCACCAUUACAAUCCUUGGAAGUAGAGGUUUUAAAGGUCAUAGUUGAAUUGUUUACAAAAACCGCCUAAUUCUUUCUUAGACUUCUUAAGCUCCCAUUUAAGCCGUUUUUGUAAUUUCAAAUCUUGGCAGACCUUUAAACCUUCUUUGUUGACAAAGCUGACUAGCUCACCAUAAGUAAGAUCGUCAUAGGGAAUGCGAUUGUCAUAAAGGACUUUAAUAGAAUUCCUAACCUUUUCUCCUAAAAGGGUAGGUAAUCCUGCUAAGAAUUUUUCUUUCCAAGUAGUAUGAUUUGCAUCAUCUCUAAGAAAGAGUCUGGUGAAGAAAGUAGUUUUGUAGGUUUGGAACUCACUAAGUUUCCUACAUCUUAGAUUGUGUAGUAACUCAGAAUUUUUGUCUCUAAGGUGAGAAGAGUCACCUAUGAAAUGAAGAGAAAAAGUAACAAUUAGGGUUGCUACUGCAUCCUGAAUUGGGUUAUUGAAUUCAUCAUAGAUGGGGGUGCCAUCUUGAUCUCUUUGGAUAGGAUUAAGAAUAUCUAAUUGUUGCUCAUUGGUGAGAAGAUGAUCCUACCAUCCUUUAAGUUGACCAGUAAAACUGGCAAUAAGGAUUUAUGCAAUAGCCUUGUCAGAAGUUCCUGAUUGGGUUUUAUAGGCAUUGGCUGCCAUGGUCAUUUGUUGCAACAAUCCUAGUAUGUUGUAUUCCGACAUUCCAUCAAUAUUCUAUUCAUAGACAGAGGAUGCAUUAUAUCGAGAUUGGUUUAAUGCACUAGGCCUAUUGUCUAUGGUCAAAUCCAGAGGAGACUUGACUGUGGGAAGGGCUAAUUCCCAAUGGAUUUUGUUGGCUUUAGGAAUAGAAUCAUCUUUGAAGGCUUCUAAGUCUGAAGAGGCUAUAGAAGUUUGGUCAUCAUGUUCUAGUACUCCAAUCUUGCUAGAUUAGGGAGUAUCAGGAGCUAUUUGAACUUUACUAGAUGAAGAUGAAGCUGCUUCAAUCCUAUCUAGUUGUUCUCUAAUGGCUUUAGCAAAAUCUGAUUUUGACUCUUGAGCAAGCUUUUGGCUAGUUUUCGAAACCUGAAAAGGUUUGAAAAUAGGGUUUUUAAGCUUUUUGUCAGAAUCUGAUUUUGAUGGAACAGGAGAAACAGAGGAGAUGGCUAUGGUUGACUUUUGGAAUUGGUUUUCUAUCCUAGUCAACUGUUUUCUAAUGGUAUUUAAGUUAGUAUUGCAGAAAUUAUUCUGUUGGAUAAUACUACUCAAAUUGGCAUCAGAAUCAUUUGGUUUUGGGAUUUUGUAAGGUGAGGCUCUAAUUUGGACAGGAGGUUCACCGUGAUCAACAGUUAUACUCCGAAGAGGUGGGUGCUCAGAUUCUAUGGUUCUGUCACUAUCAAAGAGUUUCCACUCAGGAAUUUUCUUUCUAAUAGUUAUAGGGUUCGAUUCUUUAAAGGGAUUGAAAAUGUUGUUCUCAGAAGAAUAUAUUUCGAACCAAUCAAAAAACAAUAUAUGAACUUGAUGUAAGUUUACAAAUUCAUAAUAAACUUGUUGGAUUUCUUUUCUUUGAUUUAGAAAAUAUUUAAAAAACCAAGUUCUUUUUCCUUUAUUCUUUUCUGAAUAAAAAUCAUCAUGAAGAAGAUUUUUGUCAAGUUCAAAAUUCUUUUCAAUAACAUUUAUAACAUUUUCUGUGACCGCAGAGAAUGUAGGGGAAGUUGGAGGAGAAGGUUCCUUCUCAUCCUGCUUUUGUUCAUGUUGACUGCUAGUAUAAAUUGGAUGAGGAAUAUUUGUAGUAUAGUCAACAGAACGUAUGGAGGAGCUAGGUACAUCUGAAGUAGAGAACCUAGGCUGACUUUGGAAAGGAAGAUUUAUGACCGAAGGGAUUUUUGUGAAUUUCCUUUCUAAUGAAGGAAUGCUUGAGCACGACUCUUUAUCAGAAAAUCUGGUAGAGUUAGAUCUUCUGAAAGAUAGUUUGACUCUACCAUCAGAAUACUGAGUCACAUUUUGCAACUCUGUAUUAGGCUCAAGUUGUUUUGGAAUUGCUGGUGGAGCAGCUCCUUCAAGAAUCCAUUCCUCUGGAAGAUUGAUAUCUUUCCAUUGGAUUGGUUUUGGAAUAACAGUAUUUGCUCUAGACAAAUCAGUCUGCAAGAGAAGAGUCUCAUCUCUUUUUGACUGGAAUUUAUGUUGCGUACUGAAUGCUGAAAUCAUUGCUUUAUAAGAGAUUUUAAAAAUCAGUGCAACUGGGACAGACCCUUUAAUCAUAUUAUAAUUAUGGGUUUUGAUUUGUAAAAUCAUGCUUUUCAAAAUAUUUUUGUCUUUAAGAGAAAUUGUUAUGUUUGGAUAACAAUCAAAAGAAAUCGGACCUUUACAUAGACUAGAUUCGAUGCUACUUAGCAAGGAAUUAUCAAAAGAGAUGAAUCAACCAUCUCUAAGGACAACAAGGAUAGAGGUAUCCAAGCCCUCUUUUGUAAGAGGCUUUAUUCCGACCUGGAUAAGACCGAUGUGGACAUAAUUAAAUUUCUUUUCCUUUAAUUUCUUUAAUGAGCUUUCUGAAAACAGGUGAAUUGUUUCAAAAGGUUCUGAAAUAGUAAUAUCACGUUCUUCAGUCGUUAUAACAUAAUCAUUUUUCAAAAUAUCGAGCUUUUUUGUUUUGUAAAUCUUUUCUUUGGAAAUUUUUGGAAGUUCCCAACAAUCAAUUGCUUUAUCAAAGUUCUCAAUAAUAAAUUCUUCUGAACUCACAACAUGUUUUGAAUCACUAGUCUUCCCGGAAGAAGAGCUAGAAAAGGAUGAUGCUCUACAGAGCAGAGGAUCCAUGAAGAAAGAACUUAUGGUCAAUCUAAGGUCUUGAAUGAAUGGCUACAGGUAUGGUUUUACAGCCCUAAGCAGAAAUCCUAUCCUGAAACGGGACUUACUACCAGUAAAAAUUCACCACACAAACAGAAAUUAAACAAAACACAAGUCUUUAAACACAAGAACUCUGAACUGCUUUACACUAUCCUCCCCUUGGCUCUGAUACCAGAAGGGAAUAUGUUGAUAUUGAAUAUAUUAAAGGAGAUACAAAUUCUGUUCCUGAUUUUCUAACUCGGGAAUUUUUGCAAAACAGAUAAUGCCGCCGAAGAAAAACAAAGGUAAAGUUGUUCUCAAAGAUACCGAACCUACAAAGAACCCCAUAGAAUCCCAAACUACUCCCUCUAAAGAAAAAAUACUUUCUUCUGCCAUGCCCAUUAAAUCCUGAAUUGAAAUGGUUGGAGAACAACAAGAAACCCAAUAUUAUAUAUAUAUAUAGUCUUUCUCUAGUGAGGUUAUUCUCAUUUUGUUAAAGAAAGAUGUCAGUAUAAUACAAAAGCACAAAUCUCAAUACAUAGGAUUUUUUUUGUCUUAUUAGUGAAAUAAAAUCUUUUUUUUUACUAGCAUCCUCAUUUAAAUUUAAUAAAGUGAGGAUAUCCUCAAUAGCAUGUGUAUAUAUAGUUUUUGAAAUUGAAUUAAAGGAACCGAUUAUAAGAAUCUAUUUGGCAACAAACAGUAGAAUAAUAAAUAAAAAGGGUCCAUUUUGUUUCCAAUGAAAUCAAUUCAUGAGAGUGUUCUAAAACCCUAGGCACUUGUUUCUAGCAAUACUGUCACAACUUUAGAACACGAAGACGUUAUUCGAAUUGGAUUUUAUCGAGGUAAGAUUAUCUAUUAAUAAAAAAUUUGUUCUUUGAAAUAAGCUUGUUAAUUAAACUAACUUCAGUAGUUCUGCUCUUAUUUUUUCAAAAUUCGACAUGCUGCUGUACGGCCAAGGCGGAUGUACGGUACAGCAGUAAUUGCCGGUUUUACUGGUCAAUUAAAAGGUUGGUGGGAUCAUCUUCUCACUAAUCAGCAACAAUUAGACAUUCUAAAUUCCAUUCAAGUCGAUGAAAAUGGAGUCCCUAUUUUUGAUGAGUUCAACAAUCCAAUCCAGGAUGCUGUUGCUACUCUAAUUUUAACCAUUUCCCUCCAUUUCAUUGGUGACCCUUCACACCUUCGUGAUAAAAACGCUGAGUUACUAUAUAAUUUAAGAUGUAGGAAACUUAGUGAAUUUCAAAGUUACAAAACCUCAUUUUUUACCAGAUUAUUUUUAAGAGAUGAUGCAAAUCAUACAACUUGGAAAGAAAAAUUUCUUGCUGGAUUACCUACCCUUCUAGGUGAAAAAGUAAGAAAUUCUAUUAAAGCCCUUUAUGAUAACCGUAUUCCUUAUGACGAGCUUACCUAAGGUGAACUUGUCAGUUUCGUCAAUAAAGAAGGUUUAAAGAUUUGUCAAGAUUUGAAAUUACAGAAACGUCUUAAGUGGGAACUUAAGAAGUCUAAACAAGAGUUAGGCGGUUUCUGUAAACAAUUCAACUAUGACCCCUUUAAAACCUCUACUUCCAAGGAUUGUAAUGGUGAAUGUUCUUCAAGACCUCACAGAAAACAUUACAAAUCCAAAAGCCAUAAGAAACCAUUCCAAAAGUUUAGAGAAUCUUAUAAGAAACCUUCAAGGCCUUAUAAAAAACUCAAUUUCUCUAAAAAGAAAAACUUUAGAGCCAAACCAAAGACCCCUUUUACUCCUUUCAAUUACAAAGAAGCCAUAUGUCAUAAGUGUGGCAUAAAAGGCCAUACUGCAAAAUAUUGCAGAAUGAACAAGAAGCUCCAGGAGCUUGGCCUAGAUGAUGACGUCCUUUCCAAAAUUGCCCCUCUCAUGGUAGAGUCUUCAGACUCUGAGUCCUCCAUGUCAGGAGAUAGUGACCCACUUCAGGUCGAUGAGCUUUUUGACUCAGAUACCUCUGCAUCUAGCAGUAGUGGAUCUGAAACAGAUUCCUUUUUAAAGAAAAUCAAUGUUUUGACUAAAGACCAAGAAACUUUUUUUGAACUCGUAAAGCAUAUUUCCGAUCCAAGUCUUCAAAAAGAAUAUCUUGAUAAGCUUUUGAAAACUCUGGAUUUUAAUAAAGUUGAAACUUCUAAAAUUCCAAUUGUUAAAAAGAACUCUUAUGAUCUUACUGAGAUUUUGAAUAAAAAGAAAACGAAGAAAAAUACCCCCAAAAUAUGGUUUUUAUUAGAGUCAAAUUCCCAAGACUGAACUAUGCACUUUCUUUUUGGAACAGCUUUAAUAAAUUAUGAAUCUCACGUUGCAUAUAUUCAGUUUGAUGCAUCUCAAGAGAUUGUAACAUAUGAUCUAACAAUUCUUUGCUCAGGCCAUCUUUAAUGACUUUAACUUUAUCUUCAUGAUUUUCAAAAACCAUUCCUAAGGUUUUAUAAUGUGGUCGAUUGCAAUUAAGUCUUAUACAGUUAGAACAUUUAGACACAAGUUGAUUAGCUCUCAUUCUUUUAGUAAAUAAUUUUUUACCAAAAUCAGGCAUGUAAGAAACAAAUUGAUUAAAAAAACUCACAAGCCAAUUAGACAUUUGCUUUAAUUAACCAACAAUUGUCAGAAAGAAUGCCUUUGAUAAUUAAUAAAUGAAUCAUUCACAACGAAAUUUGUAAAUCUUCUUGAGGGCGUUUUGAGUAAGAGAAUGAAAAUACUUAUACAAUUUAUAUUGUAUUUCUUCCAUGCUUGAUUUUGGGGUUUCAAUUAUUAUGGAAAACUAAAGAUACCGACUUAAGAAGUCAUGGAGUUAUACGAGAAAGUAAAUCAAAACACAAUAAAGAAACAAAUCAACUUUGCAAAAUCAAGUCAAACAUGAAGGCCAACAAAAUAACAAAACAAAAACACACAAUAUGAAAAAAAACAAUUGAUAUAAUCAAAUAUUAAACCCACAUUUAUCCUUUUAGUAAGUUAACCUCAAGUUCCAAUUAAAAAUUACAUAUAUUACCUUCAAUUUCCCUGGGUUGUCUUUGUAGAUAAUCAAGAUGGGACACUAACAUUGGUGUUUGUAAACUCCAACCAGGGUAUGAUUUACAAAAUUGUAUCAGGCAUCUUAAAUAAAAUUUCACACGUAGAAAUUCCCCAACAUGUUUAAAGAGGAUCUUUCUUAUUGAGGUACUCAUGACAUAUAUUAAGAAGGAUAAAAUGAAACACAACUGUCGAACAAACGUACUUAAGUAAGAAACAUCAUAAUGCGCAUUAUUCAAGACAUAGAAAGAAAUAAUCAAAUAAUUCAAAUGAUAAAAUAACAGUAAAAAAAAUUAAAUCACCCAAAAGACUCAAUCAAUAUUUGGUAGGUCACUUAAAUUUAUUUUGGUGUCCUCUUCACAUGAUUGGUAUUCCAUAUAUGAUUUUAAUCUUUGACCAUUAACUUUAAGUCUAACAUCUUUCCUUGGAUUCUCAAUUUCUAUGGCCCAAUAUGGAUAUAUAUUUUUUACAACAAAUAGACUACUCCACUUUGACUUUAGCUUCCUAGAAAUAAAUUAACAUGAGAAUUAUAAAAUAACACUUUUUGAUCAAUCUCAAAUGUUUUCCUAAAAAUACUUUUAUCAUGAAAAGCUUUGGUUCUUUUCUUAAUAAUUCUUGAAUUCUCAUAUGCAUCAUUCCUUAAUUUCUCAGGUUCAUUCAAUUACAAUUUAGACACAUUACUAGCAUCGUCAAUAUUUGAAUUAAAAGCUUUAAUAGUCCAAAAUGAUUUAUACUCAAGUUUAACGGGUAGGUGAGAAGGUUUACCAUAAACUAACCGAUAAGAUAACAUUCGUAAAGACAUCUUAAAUGUAAUGCGAUAGGUUCAUAGUGUAUCAGUAAAUCAAAGAGACCAAUCUUUGCAGAUUAGGUUAACUAUUUUUUCCAACAUUUAUUUAUCUACCUAUUUAAAAAGUGAACUUGACCACUUGUUUGAGGGUGAUAUAGGGUAGUAAUUUUAUGUAUAAUUUCAUAUUUCUUUAAAGACUCAAAUGACUUAUUACAACAAUGCUUAUCUCCAUCAUUGAUAAUGGCUUGGGAGAUUCCAAAUCUACUUUAAAGAUUUUCUUUUAAAAUAUGGAUUACAAUUUUGUGAUCGUUAUACCAGUAAGGAAUUGCUUUAAUCCAUUUUGAAAAAUAAUCAACAGCAACCAAAAUAUUAACAUCAUUCCUCUCGCAUCUAUUGCAAGAUAAUUAUAAUGUUAGCAUACCAAGGCAUAUUGUACAUCGAAAACAAAAAUUCAUUAGUGAAAGAAUCAUUUAUGGGUGUUGUAUCAAUUAAAGACUCAUUUGUAAAUCUUGAAAUAUGGCCAACAACCAUAUUUUCGGCACUUUUUUGUCCAUGAUUAUCUUGAAAUAGUAAAAUCCAUAGUAUUAAUCUUGGCUUAAUAUCUUGUUUAGACAUUAAAUGUCUGACAGUAGCAUGAUCAUAAUAAAAAAUAGUGAAUGAGUCAAUUAAAUAUGAACAAAAUUUAUCCAAUGCAAAUAUUACAGUAAGUAGUUUUCUUUUUAAUCUGGUGUAAUUCAUUUAGGCACUACUCAAAGUUCUAUUUACGUAAUAGAUGACAAAGAGUUUACGCUGGCAUAAUUACACAUUAGCUCAAAAAUAAAGACUAAUCACGGGGUUCAAUUAUAGGGAAUGAUAUUAAAAUACUAAUUAUCUUUUCAAAUGCCUUCUGAGAAUCUUUUGUCCACUUGAACGAUGUGUCAUUUAUUUAAAGGUUAUAAAGUGGUCUAGAUAUGAAACUAAAGUCUUUUAUAAACUUUCUAUAAAACCUAGCAUGUCCUAAAAAGAAAUGGACUUCCCUAACUGUCUUUAGUGGGGGUAAAUUUGAGAUGACUUUAACUUUGGCUUUAUCAACUUCAAUUCAAUUAGAAGACAUUUCAUAGCUCAAGAUAGUUCUAGAAAUAGUCAUGAAAUGACAUUUUUCCUAAUUUAAAACAAGUCCUUUUCCUUUAUACCUUUCCUGCUGUACGGCCAAGGCGGAUGUACGGUACAGCAGAUUUCAAACAUUUAAAGACUUUUUAUUUUGCCACCAGAAAGGCUGGAUUGGCAAUCUCUAGUUCUAAAGUUUCUUUAUUUCAAACAAAAGUCAGAUUCCUUGUUCAUCAUAUUUCUAAAGGAACAAUCACUCCAAUCGAGCGAUCCCUUUUGUUUGCAAAUAAAUUCCCUGAUAAAAUUCUUGACAAAACCCAAUUACAAAGAUUUCUUGGAAGUUUAAAUUAUGUUCUUGAUUUCUGUCCUAACAUUAAUAGGAUGUCUAAACCCUUGCAUGAUAGAUUAAAGAAAAAACCUGUACCUUGGACAGAUGAACAUGCCAAGGUUGUAAAGCUUAUAAAGAAUUCUGUGAAAAGCAUCCCAUGUUUAUAUCUUGCUAAUCCUACAUUACCUAAAAUUGUUGAAACUGAUGCAAGUGAUUUAGGUUAUGGAGGCAUAUUAAAGUAAAAAGAAAAUGAUAAAGAACAGAUAGUACAAUAUGUUUCUGCACAUUGGAAUGAUUGCCAGAAAAAUUAUUCUACUAUCAAAAAAGAAAUCCUUUCCAUUGUUUUAUGCAUUACAAAAUUUCAAAGUGAUUUAUUAAAUCAAAAAUUUCUACUUAGAAUUGAUUGCAAAGCUGCAAAACAUGUUUUGGAAAAAGAUGUUCAAAAUAUUGCAUCAAAACAAAUUUUUGCACGAUGGCAAGCCAUUUUAAGUGUUUUUGAUUUUGAUAUUGAAUAUAUUAAAGGAGAUACAAAUUUUGUUCCUGAUUUUCUAACUCGGGAAUUUUUGCAAAACAGAUAAUGCCGCCGAAGAAAAACAAAGGUAAAGUUGUUCUCAAAGAUACCGAACCUACAAAGAACCCCAUAGAAUCCCAAACUACUCCCUCUAAAGAAAAAAUACUUUCUUAUGCCAUGCCCAUUAAAUCCUGGAUUGAAAUGGUUGGAGAACAACAAGAAACCUAAUACAAAUCCAUCUCCUCUGAGCAACAAGUCAAAGAGUGGAUGGAAUCCAUUACAAGGUCCCCUGAGCUUAUGCUUGCCUUACAAGGCAUUUCAAAAUCUAAAGCUCUUUCUCAGAUCCCUGAGGAAGAAAAACCAACUUCUAAAGAAAUUACAAAGUCUUCUUCUCAAAGCCAAACUGUUGUUCUUUCUGGUGAAAGUUCGUCUUCUCAGAUUGUUCUUUCCCAGCCAACUCUUUCAAAGAAAACCUCCGAUUGGUAUGAUAAAACCCAUUUUCAAAAUGUUUUAACUAUGGAAGAUGGAUUUUACCACACUGAUCCUUUCCAAGCAAUUUCAAAGUUUUUUCCUAAAGGCUGGUUUUUCAAACCAUGAGAUUUAACAAAACCCCAGCCUUACUAUCAAAGCAUUUUAGAAGCCACUGAGUCUGUAAAAUUCAAACAUUUCUUUCUCAGUGAAACCCAUUCUGAGCCGGCCUAUUCCACGGCCACUAUUCUUAAAGUCUUGAGCCCAAACCAAUGGGGUGACCAACUCCACAAAUUUAAAACCUUCCCUCCAAAUUUCCAAAUGCGUCUACCACACUGCUUGGCCUAUUCCUAUUGUCUUUUGAGAACUAGUGAACUUAUCAAGAAUUUACAUUCUUGUGGUGUUCCAAAUUUAGACUUAUCACUCACCUUCUCAUCUUUUUCUUGAGUGUGGCGUCAAUACCCUUCUCUAUACCUUUGGUUCAUGUUUUCUUAAGCAUUGGGUCAAGGUUUUUGUUUGCCAUAAAUCUGUUUAGAACUUUCUUGGGAAGUUGAAACUACAAAUUAAGUGUAGGAUUGAAAGUUUCAUUGUGGGAUUCGUAUCACUAUUCCUAUUGGGAUUACCUACAAGCCUGGUUUAACACAUUUUUCUUACAAAACCCAAAAAAGUCCCAUUCAUGGUUAUUUUUCUUCAAUUCAAAAAUAACCGUCCAAAGUCUUCCAAACUGGUUCCAACAAUAGUGGAACUAUUUCGGCCCAACACCACAACUCCUAACUCCAAAUGCCAACCAUUGUCUAAACCUUUUUAAAGCCCAUUAUACCCCAUCAUAUUCAGAAAAACAGUUUUCUCCCUUCCUCUGUUUUGUACAAAUUUCUUCCUCCCAUGGAUAUGGAUGUGGGAUUUCAAAUUUCAUACCCAAGAAAAACAACUCAUCAUACAAAGAACUUUCAAAGUCAAGUGGUGGUCAAAAUUCGAUGAACAAACCAAAUUGACAGAACCCCUUCAAAUACAAAAAUAGUUAAAGACACUUCCAUAUAAUCUCAAACCAACUCAACUCCAAUAAUAAAAUCAAAUUAUCUCAACCUCAACAAUCCAACGACACAAAACAGUUGUCAACCAUCAAAAUCAUCAAGCAAUCCAAAUACAUUUAUGAAAGCUAAAAGAGCACAUACGACAUAGUUAUAUCAUUCAAAAUAUAAAAUGAGAUCAGAAAUGUAUGUCCGAAACAAGGGAAAACAUAAAACAUUGAAAGAUAAACAAAGGAGGUGGCUACGAUGAAGACCCAGCGGGAGGGAAACCGAGUGCAGUGAGGAUGCAUUUCCAACGAUCACGAAGCUCCUGCUGCUGAUCUAAGAUGAACUGUUGAAAAGUAUCGAAGUGAGACAUAAGCUGCUGCUACUAUAGUGAAAGAGUGCGAACCUCGCUAAGAAGCUGCUGCAUCAAGCCCUUAGAUGAGGAAGAAUCUGCAGGAACCGGAAGCACAUCAGUAUCCAUAUCAUGCUCCUUCUACUCCACUGGCUCCUCAGUGUGCGCAACUGUAGCUCGACGGGGAACUCAAGGUUUAGCACCUAAUCAAAAGUCGAGUAGCUUAUCGGUAGAAUAGAUAUCGUUAAGCAGACGAUCAUCCUCAGGAUCUAAAAGUGUAUACUCAUUCUUAGAUGAAGUUAGAGCUGGAAAAAUGAGUCAUUAGGUCGUGUUCAUGUCGUGUCAGCUUCAUGUCGUCUCAAAUUUAGGCUGACCCAAAUCCGACCCAUUUAAUAAUCGUGUCAAAGUAUUGUGACUCAAACCCGACACGGAAAAAUAAUCGGGUUUCCCAAUAACCCGCUUAAUAUGUAUAUAUUAAACAAAAGUUACAUCAAAUAUUUACACACUGUCAUGCAUACAUAUGUACAUACAUACACACAUAAUUUAUCGAUAUUAUAAAAUAUACAUAUCUAACAAAAUAUUACACAUUUACACUAUUGAGGUUUUAAUUAUAUAUAUGUAAAUAAUAUUAUAUAUCAAUAUUAUAAAAUAUACAUGCCUACUAAUAUUUUACACAUUUACACUAUUGAAGUUCUAAAUGUAUUUAAAAUUUUAUAAAUAAAAUACUGUGUUUAUAUUUAUCAUUUCAAAGAAUAAAAAUAAAAGAGAAAAUCAUCUCUAAUAUUUGAGUUUUGACGACAAGAACCUGGAUAUUAUUUUAAAAUAAAAAUAUAAUCGGGUCAUUGAUUGGGUAAAUGGGUCAAGAAUUUUAACCCUAACCCAACGCGAAAAAAAAUCGUGUCGACCCGGACCCAACCCAUUUAAUAUUCAUGUUAAAUUCGACGACCCAUACCCAUUUAUUCGUAUCGUGUUCGUGUCGGGCAAUCGGGUCGAGUAGAAUUUUACCAGCUCUAGAUGAAGUAAUCUUCACCCAUUCUCCAUUACGCCUACGAAAAUCGAUUCCGAGAAUAAUCUCACCUCCCAACCUCUUAGUCUCUUUAUACACAGGCUCAAUAAUGGGAAUCUGAAAAUGCCUCAAGAUCCUACUGAUAAUACUACCAUAGGGAAGAAGUUUGUUGUUCACUGCAAGUGUAGACAACAUGUGAUGAAGUAUAAUAUACCCAAGGUUAACUGGACGCCUUCUAAAAAGACAGUCCAGUAAACCAACAUCCAAACGAGUGACCUCGUCACUAUGCUGUUUCCUAGGAGUAACUAUAUGUUGGAGAAUACUAUGAAGGAUUCUAAUCUGCAUGGGCAACAACUGAGACUGAAAAGGCAGUGAGCAAACAUCGUCGGAAAGGUCUCGAUGUAUAUAAAUAUUCCUAACCGCAUCUACAUAAGAAAAACAGUUAAACUGGAGUUCUUUUGGAGAAGUAUAGAGUUCUAGUCCUAUAUGAUUAGUCCCUAGAAUGGAAUUCAAAUCCUCCACAAUGAACUCAAUGGGUAUAACUAGUCGAUCCAACCUAGUAGUCGAAAGCUCCAUAUUAGAGUAGAAAAUUCUAAUGUGGUUUUGAUACACUUUCUCCUCUAGAUUUAAAGCAGUCUCCCAUGGUGCUCCUUCACAUUACUACUAUAAACAACCAAUUCCUCAAAAUCAUCUAAAAUAACAAAGAAGGAAUCAGUUAACUUACACAUUAUAAAGCGAGUUUGGAACCUCCUAGCCAGAGAAGGAGAAGGAAAGUGAACCUUUUCAAACUCAAGUACUGGAGAGGGACGAGUAGGAUUCCUGCCAGCCUGUUGUUUAACUCGUCGCUCAGGUCUUGAAGGUCCUUCAUUAGCCAUGAAGGUGUUUAUGGGCUUAACUGAUUAAGAAAUGAAGAAAUUUGUGGUCAAAUUGAAAGAAAUAGGUUCGGUUUGCACUAGGGUUUCAAAAUUGGGAAUUUUUUAUUUGGGGCUUAAAACAAGAUUUUGAUAUGAUAGAAAUGUUCUAAACUUGUUGGAGAAAAUUCUAUGGCUUCAAUUUAGAAAGAAAUUGCAAAGAAAAUGAGUGAUUUUAGAGAGAGAGAGAGUUGCAGUUACGGUGAUGAGAGAAAAUAGUUCAUGGCCAAAAGAAAAUGAAGAAAACGAUUUACUGUGCACUUAUCAUGCAAUAACGGUGAGCCAUUAUUAAGAUAUCGGCGAGCCAAUAUCAUUCCAGAAUGCUUCACUAAAAUUUUACAAAAACGGUGAGUCGUUAUUAUGAAGUUGGCGAACCGUUAUCUUCCUUAAUAUUUUCCCUAGUUUCUGUGCAAAAAUGGUUAACCGUUUAUUGAAUAAAUGGUAAUCUGUUUUCUUUUUUGGCCAACAAUUAAUCCAUUUCAAAAUCAUUUCAUUGAUCCGAAAUGUCUUAAAGACCAAUUUAACGCAUGAUUCAUGAAUUCACACAAUUCAAACAACUAAUACAAAUAAGCAAACACAUCACAAACAACAAAGUAGAUUUGAUAUCACAUAUAGUGAAGCUAUUAUGUAACAUUUAUCAUUACAUGCUCAUGCUUAAUUUUAGUAAAUUGUUCUUCAUUAAGGGGUUUUGUGAAAAUAUCAGCGAGUUGUUUUUCGGUUGAAACAAAAUUCAAUGAAAUAUCCCCUUUUUUAUCAUGAUCUCUCAAGAAAUCAUGUCCAAUUCUAUACGCUUGGUUCUUGAGUGUUGGAUAGGAUUAUUUGAAAGAUUUAUGACACUAGUAUUAUCACACAUGAUAGGAAUUUUAUCAAGGUAAAUGCCAAAGUCUCUAAGAGUUUGUUUCAUCCAUACGGUUUGAGCACAACAACUUCCGGCUGCAAUAUAUUCACCCUUGGUAGUUGAUAGUGCAACCGAAUUUUGUUUCUAGUGACCUAGAAAGUAACAUGUUCCACUAGUGCUUUUCCUAUCAACCUUAUAUCUGGCAAAUUCAGCAUCCGAGUAACAAGUUAAAUCUAUAUGAGUUCCUCUAGGAUACCAAAGGCCAAGAUCUAUGGUUCCACUCAAGUAAUGAAUUUUUUUUUUCACCGCAAGCAAAUGAGAUUCUUUAGGACAUAAUUGAAAUCUUGCACACAAGCAUACACUAAACAUAAUAUCAGGUCUACUAACAGUAAAGUAAAAUAAGGAUCCAAUCAUACCUAGAUAAGUUUUGAUAUAAACUUCCUUGCUUUUUUCAUCCUUAUUAAGCUUGAUUGAUGAAGAUUCCUUCUUCAGUUUGUUUUAUUUGAAGUCUAAGAAACUACUUCAAUUCUCCCAUCAUACUCAUCUCAAAUUCUUAGCUCAUACAAAAUGAAAAAUCCUUACACAAAAACUUAUUAGUAGAACAAAAAAUAAUAUCAUUAACACAAAUUUGUGUCUGAGCCAAAGUUAAGAAUGAGACCUAGAUUGAUGGCAAUAACACCUAUGAGAAUAUCAACAUAUUCAUUUUUAAAGACAAACUCCCUACUUGGACCUUCCUUUAUAAUCUCAGCAUCCUUAAAGAACCAAGUAUUUCCUAACUCGAAAAUCAUCUUAGUCAUAGGAUCAAAAAACUUGUACCCUAGAUCUUUCAAGUAAGAAAUUGCUUAUAUUAGUUUUUCUUGAAUUCCUAUUUUUCUUUUUAAUCUCUUUUUCGGUAUGCAAACAUUAAUUGACAAGUUUGUUGAGGCUAAGCAUGAAAUCCAUUAAUCUUAAAGAGUUAAAAUUACAACGUUCAUUCAAAUUCUAGGAAUAUUCUAAUCCAAAACUAUAUUAAACUUUAAUAAUGUAGGCAAUGAUUGCCGGUUAGAAGGCAUGCUAAAGAGAGCAAAACUUAAGGAAUAAUGAACUUAAGUACAUAUACAUUUUAUUUGUCCUAAAAAUUACAGCUUAUGGCUAUUGAUUUUAUUUAUAUAUCAUUAGUUGAUGAUAGGAAAUUGCAGAACGCAGAGAUUGCUAUGAAUGCUUUGUUUAUGUGGUAGGUGUUGCACACAACUAAUAGUACUGCAUAAUUUCUAUUUUUAUUUAUUUUGUUUGUGUAAAUAUCUUUAAUUCUUUUUAAUGCCUUACUUUAGGAAAGGAAAAAAAGGGUCUCACCUUAUUCUUUAAUGAAUAUUUUCAUAUUUUACUAUUGUCCUAUGUAAAUACUUAUUUUUUACUAAAUAUUUUCCAUUGAUGAAAUGGGAUACAUUUUACUUCGCUUGGGGCCUGCUGAAUUUUGUUCCUAGAGAAGGUCUACAUUUGCAUAGCUUUGGUGCUGAAUGUUGGUGAAUGCUGAGUACUUUGCUUGGUUAUUGGCUUGACUUUGGAAUAUGGUUUAACUAAUGUAUUUUAAAGUUUGAAUUGUAAGUUUUUGUACUUUGGUUAUUUUUAUGAGCAAAACUAUGGUGCAACUGUGGUACCAUACCACAGUUGCAUCCAAUCGUUAGAUUCAGCUACAGUUGUUACCAUAAGCUAGAUCCAAGGUUGGAAGCAACUGUGGUAUGGUACCACAGUUGCACCAUAGCCGGACCCUAUUUUUAUGGAUAAUAAAGUUCACUAAUUUAAUUCAUUGGUUUUGGAUUUGAUUGCAUUUAGUAAUUUAUUUUCUCUCGUAUAAAUUUAAUAAUUCAAAUUUUAAAUUGAAGUAGCUAAAAUUGCAUAAAUUUUUAUUUUUAAAUCAAUAAAUAUUUAUCAAGGUGUAAAGACGUACUUCAAGAGGAUAUUCAUAAGUUUUGAUGCACUAAAUAAUGGGUUUAUAAGUGGAUGUAGAAGGUUCAUUGGAGUUGACACCUUAAGACAUCAUUUAGCGAUAUCUUAUUGAUAGCUAUUAUACUUAAUGCCAACAAUGACAUAUUCCAACUGGCAUUUUGCAUUUGUGAUGUUGAGUACAAGGACAGUUGGAAGUGGUUUCUUGACUUGUUGAAGGAACAUCUUGGCAAUUGAUGAAGUUUUUCCCAAGUGUGUGCCAUCAGACAUUGUGCAAAACAUAUUUAUGUGAAUUUCAUGAAGGAUUUAAGGGAAUGUUUUGGAAGGUUGUGAGAGCAACAAACAGAGUGGAAUUUGAAAAGGAAAUUAAAAAAAUUAACUCAAGAAAAAGGCUACAUAACGAUUGAUGCAUAAUGAACUAGAAACAUUGGCAUGUCAUACUUUCGAUCCUUUUUUCAAGAUUGAUCAUGUUACUAUUAAUAUUUCAGAGAGUUGGAAUUCUCUACGCAAUGAGUAUAGGAAAAAACCAUUCCUUUAAUUGCUUGAAUUUAUAAGAUUUAAAAAACCAAUCCUUUAAAGGCUUAUUCGAAGAAGAGAAAGGACGGCAAUGUGGGACUCUGAUUUGCCUCCAAGAUUGCAUAGAAAAUUGGCAAAAAUAUCCAAAGCUUCAAGGAAAUUGAUUGUGGUGAAAGCUAGUAAAGCUCCAUAUGAGGUGUUGGAAUUUAUAGACGAUGAAAAGAGGCAUUAUGUGGUUGAUUAAAAAUGAAGGACUAGCUCGAAAUAAAAGGUACACUUUGACAAGUAGCUAGUGCAACAAAUUUAUGAAAUAUUAAUGAGGCAACCCAAGAGGGUGAAUUGGGAUUCUAAAAAUUUGGGUAACUAAAAGUUAAUGCAAUUUUAAACAAAUCAAUCAAAUUUGAAAUAAACAAAUUAAUGUGCAAUGAAAAAUAAAGAGAUUGGGUAAGAGAGAGAAAACACGCGAUUUUUACGUGGUUCGGCCAACCUUCCUACGUCCAUGCCUCCAAGCUCAUCGGGCUUGAGGAUUUCACUAAGUGAGCCUCCAAGACUUCAACAACUCUUCCAAUUAACUUCCAAGGUGUCAAUAGACCUAAUCUCCUUAAUCUCUUAGCCCAAGGGUAUCCCAAUACUUACAACCUCUCAAAAAUAUAGAUUACAAAUGAAUUUUCUCUCACACAAUGUAUAUGGUUACAAAUGAAAGCUCAAAGUGUGAAUCAAUGAAAUAAAAACAAGUUUAAAGCUUAAUAAUGGUUGUAUACUCAGUAGCAAGCUCAAUGAUAACUGUUGGAUCUGAUACGAAUCCCACAAUGAAACUUUCAAUCCUACAAUUAAUUUGUAGUUUCAACUUCCCAAGAAAGUUCUAAACAGAUUUAUGGCAAACAAAAACCUUGACCCAAUGCUUAAGAAAACAUGAACCAAAGGUAUAGAGAAGGGUAUUGACGCCACACUCAAGAAAAAGAUGAGAAGGUGAGUGAUAAGUCUAAAUUUGGAACACCACAAGAAUGUAAAUUCUUGAUAAGUUCACUAGUUCUCAAAAGAACCAAAGAAAGAAUAAUCUUUCAAAUUCAAAAUAACAUUAAUCUCCUUACAUACCAAGGUUGCUGAAUUUAAAUAGGCUAAAAGGAACCCAAGAUCCUAAAAAUACAAAUGGAAACAUUGGAACAACCCUCCAAGUAAGUUUGUCAAAAGAUGUUUCAAAAGUCUUCACCAACCCACCAUGAUCAAUGCUAUCUUUGACAAACUUAAUGCUAGCCUACUAUAAUUAAUGCUAUCAUUGACAAACUUAAUGUUCUUGCACUUUAAUUCUGGCUCAAUCAAUACAGUUUUUAUUCCGAAUUUGACCUUUCUGCAUUUGAUACAACUUGUGUAUUUGGCUGCCCAAUGACUUGAAUAAUGCCCACAAUGCCUUGUCUUCUCUUCAAGCCCAAUUCAUGAUGUCUUGCAUCUUGAAUUGCAUUUUCAAUCCAUAUUUUCUCAAUUAAUCCAUUUAAAGCAGCUUGCAUCUUUUUGGCUCUUGCUCUUGUAAUUGGGCCUCCAUGAAUGUGCAAAGGAUCACUUGAAGUUUUAAUGGUCCCUUGAUGGUUCUCAUCAGGAUCGCUCUAUGUUUGAAUUUGAUUGAGCCAUUUUAUAGGUAAAGCUGAAAACCAGUCAUUGUUAACUUUCUGAGAAAAAUCAGAUCGCCAUUAACAAUGACUAUUAUGCUUAGAUUUUUAAAUAGAAACUUGCAAAACAAAUUUGGCUAACCAUUUGUGCUAAAUAGUUCAUAGUUACAAUCCAAUUCAUCUCUAGAAAUUAUAGGUUAGCCAUUUUCAAUAAACCGUUCACCGUUAUUUUUUAGAUACAACAUUUUAACAACCUUUUGUUAUGGUGAGAUUGUAACUGAAGAUGAAACAGAAGAAAAUGAGAUGCCACCAUUAGAGGAUGUUGAAGAUGAAGAGUAUAUAGCCCCAGGGGAAUUGACUUUAGUUGUGAGGAGAGCUUUGAGUGUACAAGUGAAAGAAGACGAAGCGGUGCAAUAGGAAAACAUUUUCCACACUAGGUGCUAUGCUCAAGACAAAGUAUGCAGUAUGAUUAUUGAUGGAGGAAGUUGUACUAAUAUUGCUAGUACUAUCAUGGUAGGGAAGUUAGGGCUUCCUACACUCAAACUACAAUAGUUAAAUGACAGUGGUGAGGUGAAAGUGAACAAGCAGGUAUUAGUGACUUUUCAGAUUGGCAAGUAUGAAGAUAAGGUGCUUUGUGAUGUAGUACCCAUGCAGGCUAGACACUUGUUACUUGGGCGGCCUUGACAAUUCGACAGACAUGUGAAGCAUGAUGGCUUCACCAAUAAAUAUUCAUUUGUAUUUAAUCAACGCAACAUCACUCUGGUUCCAUUGAUACCAAAGCAAGUUUAUGGAGAUCAAGUGAGCCUACAGAGAGAGAGUGAGCAAAAGAAAAAGAGAGAAAAAUAGAGUGAAAUUUAGAAAAAGGUUGAGGAAAAUGUGAGAGAAAAACCAAAGAAAAAUAUGGCCAUUGAGCAAAAAUCAGGUGGAAAACAAAAAAAUUUCUAUACGAGAGUGAGUGAGAUAAAAAAAAGCAUUGUUUUCACAUCAGCCAAUGAUUGUACUUUUGUACAAAGAUGCAUUUUUUAACACUAACAAAUUUGACCCUACUUUGCCUAGUUCUAUUACUUCUCUUUCGCAAGAGUAUGAGGAUGUCUUUCCUGAGGAAGCACCACAUGGUUUAUCUCCAAUCCGAUGGAUUGAGCAUCAGAUUGAUUUUGUGCUUAGUGUAGCCAUUCCAAAUAGACCAGCCUAUAGGAGCAAUCCGGAGGAGACCAAGGAACUUCAAAGGCAAGUUAAUGAAUUGAUGGAAAAAGGGUACGUGAGAGAAAGCAUGAGUCCAUGUGCAGUUCCCCUUUUAUUAGUUCCUAAGAAGGAUGGGACAGCAAUCCGGAGGAGACCAAGGAACUUGUGCUUAGUGUAGCCAUUCCAAAUAGACCAGCCUAUAGGAGCAAUCCGGAGGAGACCAAGGAACUUCAAAGGCAAGUUAAUGAAUUGAUGGAAAAAGGGUACGUGAGAGAAAGCAUGAGUCCAUGUGCAGUUCCCCUUUUAUUAGUUCCUAAGAAGGAUGGGACAUAGAGGAUGUGUGCUGAUUAUCGAGCCAUCAACAAUAUAACAGUAAAGUAAUGACAUCCCAUUCCUAGGCUAGGUGACAUGCUUGAUGAAUUACAUGGGUCUUGUGUAUUUUCCAAAAUUGAUUUAGAAAGUGGAUAUCAUCAUAUUAGAAUGAAAGAAGGAGAUGAAUGGAAAACUGCUUUUUUAAAACAAUAUAUGGUUUGUAUGAAUGGUUAGUCAUGCCUUUUGGUCUAACUAAUGCCCCGAGCACUUUUAUGGGACUUAUGAAUCAUGUCUUGUGAGCUUUUAUUGGCAAGUUUGUUGUUGUUUAUUUUGAUGAUAUCCUCAUUUAUAGCAAAAACAUAAACGAUCAUGUAGUACAUUUGAAAUCUGUUUUAGAUGUGCUUAGAAAAGAAAAGUUGUUUGCUAACCUAAAGAAGUGUACUUUUUGCACCAACAAACUUGUGUUUCUAGGAUUUAUUGUGAAUGCACAGGAGAUACCAAGUUGGAAGUUGUACGUGGCAUUGUUACACCAGAUCUAUAACAGUACAAAGUCUGUUCUUAGGGCCAAUAGCCCGCAAGUUCUGGUUUCUAGCCGAUAUACACUUAUCCGUCAAAUACCAAAUCUGAAAAUUAUAUUUAAAAAUAGUUUUUCACGAUACCACCCGAAAACACGGCACUCAUGGCCUUCAAAGUGGGUGAACGUUGUGAGAAAACAAUUCUAUUUUACAAAAAUCAGUUUUGGAGGAUAAAACAGGACCUUUCUGAUGCACAAGAUCCUUAGGCUUAAGGCAAGUUCAGAGCAUACUCAGUUUAGAAAAUUAGAGGAGAGCGUAUCAUUAUUAACCCAAAUAAUUUCUUUGAUUCCUAAAAGAAAGAAGAAGUUUAGAAACACAUGAUGUAAAGAAAACUUGAAAAUAUAUUUCAAAUUAACUCCUGCCUUACAAAGGGAUAGAGAGAUCCUUAUAUAGAGAUCUCGAGGAACGAGAGAUAAGGUGGGUCCCUUAUCUUUUACAAAAGCAUAAUUAUUAAAGCACCUACGCCAAACUAGAAAAAGUAGAAAACAUACUUUAGACAAGACAAGACCCUUGUCUAAUUAUUAAAGAAAACUUUAAAAAAGCAAAAGCUAAAGAUUCCCAUGCGUGUCUGCAAUCAUGGAGUGGAUGGGUAGUAUGAUGGAGACACAUCACCAAUUUCUUUCUCAUAUUGGCACUUGGCACGACGAAUUUGCCUGUGAUCAAGAUAACCUUCAACUUGCAGCUUCUUCAUCAGCAUUAUUCAUUUCUUUUGGGGCUGAUGUAGUCGGAGGUUCUGGGUUUGUGACAGUGUAAUGGGGAUUUUCAAUAUGGAGAAGAGACUAAAAAUCUUCCCAUGGAUCCUGAACGUCUUGGAAUAAGACGUUAGUGCAGCUCCAUCUGUCCCUUCAGUUCUUGAAAUGUCUUCUAAAGCAUCUUCUUCCCCAUGGUUUACAUUUGAUGACAUUCCUCGUCACAAAUGGCAGGCUCAACAUUAAGAAUUUGCUACAUGGAUUGAUGUGCAAAUGACAAGUCCUAAUGUACAAUCACAAAGUGUUCUCCGAGAGUUUUGUUCCAGAUUCAUUGGAUCUCUACGAGAUUGGUUUGAAAGUCUAGGUGAAUACAGACAACUCCAAUUGAUUCAAACCACCGUUCCUAUAGCUCUUGUAGUCAUUUAUGAGCAAUUUAUUGGAGAACCGGCAGCCUCAACUGAAGCUUCUCGAAAAAAAUAUCACCAGAUGAAAUGUUGUUCUCUUAAACGACAUCACCUGGAAAUGCAUUACAAAAGGAUGAGCAUGCUUUAUUACAAACUAAAUGGAUUCAAUGAUCCAUCCUUAAAGCAUGUCUUUGCUGCAUCUUCACCACCAGAACUUCAGCCAGAGCUCAAAGACAAUUGACAGCCUUUAACCUCGACAUAGCAAAAUGUCUCCUUUGGAAAAAUCUUUCAAUUAACCAUGCUAUGCCUUGAUAAGAUCUGUGAGCAAAAAGAUUUCUUCAAGGACCUUAUUGAACACAAAGAACCCUUUGCCUCAGCUUGUAAAAAAACCCUACCUCAAAAUCCAAUGCAAAGAUGACAAAAAGUGCACUUGUCCAACCAACAAAAAGAAGCACUUCCAGAAAUAUUUCCACAAAUCCUCUUCCAAAAAACCAAAGAAGCCUUACAGAUACUUCAGGAAAAAGGAUCCUUCCUAAUUUAGAAAGAAGAAAUACAAUCGCUGCUUUAUUUGCAAGAAGCGUGGACAUUUUGCCCUUAAUUGCCAGAACAAGCCGGCCAAAGCUGUUCAUCUCAUUCAGCACUUACAACAAUCUUCUAUACUUUCUGACCACGAAGAUGUUGAAUCUAUUUUCUCAUAACAGUUAGAGAAAAAUGAACAUACAGCCUUCAUCCUUACUAAUUCAAGACUCAGAUGCAGAUGACAUUUCUGUGAUCUCCACUAUUUAAGAGAUUAACCACAUUCGUCCCACACUUACUGGUCCAUCAGUAAAAAUUUCAGUCAUCCCUUCUAAAUUCCAUAAACCUGUCUUAGUCAUUGGUUUCCUUGAUACUGGCGCACAACGUAGUAUGCUCAAUCCUAGAAUCUUUCUUCUGGAUUAUUGGGAAAACCACACUGAAUACUUCAGAGCUGCAAAUGGAAAAUUUUUUUAAACAUCUCUCAUAACCAAAAAACCCAUUAGUAUCCAGUUCUUUCCAAAUUGUAUCAUUUGGCAAAAGAUUGUUGGUUCAAAUUUGCCAGACAAAGAUCUCCUCAUCGGAUUUGAUAUCCUCUAAUUGGUAAAAAACCUCUUCAUUAUGCCAACAGGCAUUAAAUUUAAACAAAUGUUUAUGCCUUAUACAGAUGUUCUCCGUCUGUAUACAUUGUCAGAUAUAGCUUCUCCCUAUACCUCUAUUUCCCAAAAGUUCCUUGAUUUUCUCUUAGUUUACUCAUCCAUCACCAUUUUGGAAAAAUACACAGUUUUUCAUCCAUCUUCCUUUCAAACUCAAUGAAGAUGUCAAUCCUACAAAAGCCACACAUCCGGGGAUGCCUCCAUCUGAUCUCACUCUCGCCAAGCAAGAAUGCACACAAUUGCUUCGGUAAGGUCUCAUCGAACCCACUACUUCAAAUUGGGCUUGUUAAGCUUUCUAUGUUGAAAAACAAUCUGAAUUAGUUUAUGGAAAAAAGAGGUUAUUUAUUGAUUACCGACCACUUAAUGCUUUCCUUAAAGAUGAUAAAUUUCCUCUUCCAAAGAUCCAGUCCCUAUUCAUUCAUCUUCAAGGUGCAAAGGUAUUUUCAAAGUUCGAUCUUAAAGCUGGUUUUUGGCAACUUGGUAUUUCUUCAGAAGACCGUCCCAAAAUAGCCUUUUGUAUCCCUAAUGCUCAUUAUCAGUGGACAGUUCUACCUUUCGGUCUCAAAGUUGCUCCAUCAUUAUUUCAAAAAGCAAUGGUUAAGAUCUUCUCUCCAAUCCUCCAUCAUGCUUUGAUCUACAUUGAUGACAUCCUGUUGUUUUCCCAUGACCACCAAACACAUCAACAACUCCUUUCAGAUUUCCUGGAAAUCGUUCAGACACAUGGCAUCAUGCUUUUUGAAAAGAAAAGCAACAUCGGAAAGGAAUCUAUUGACUUUCUUGGCAUGGUCUUAAAAGAUGGUCACUACCAUCCUGGACCACACAUUGCAGCAGAAUUAUUAAAGUUUCCAAACAUUGAUUUUACCAAAAGACAAAUUCAACAGUUCCUUGGAAUUGUUAAUUAUGUCAGAGACUUUAUUCCCAAAGUUGCGGUCCAUACUAGUCAUCUAUCAUGCAUGCUCAAAAAGACGGCUCCACUAUGGGGUCUAGAUCAAACAGAAGCUGUAAAACAGCUUAAAAAGAUAGCCCAGUCACCUUCCUCCAUUCAAAAUUCCCACUACCAGCCAACGCAUUCUCUAGACAGAUGCUAGUGAUGACUUUUGGAGUGCUAUCCUCCUAGAAAAAAUCGGUGAGUCAAAGUCCUAUUGCUCUCAUGCAAGUGGACAGUUCAAAGAUUCAGAAAAGAAUUAUCACGUGAUUUACAAGGAAAUUAUUGCAGUAAAAUAUGGAAUCAAGAAAUUUGAAUUUCAUCUCAUCAGCCAUAAUUUCCUCAUCAGAAUGGACAACAGUUCUUUUCCAAAGAUCUUUGACUUCAAGAACAAAUUGCUUCCUGACAAGCAAUUGCUCAACUUAAAGACAUGCUUUGCAAAGUAUGACUACACAGUCCAACACAUCAACGGUGAUAAAAAUCUUAUCCCUGAUUUCAUCACCUGACCAUCUAUAAAAAGCCAUGUUCUCAUCUCUUCAAUCCAAACCAUCCCAAUUAUAGCCAUGUAUCGAUCACACUCCCCUUCAAAGCUCUUACCCAAAAAGCUUUUCCUCUAAACCUCACUUUCCGAAUAGCUUUCCAAAUCCAGACUUUUACAAAGAAAUUCCUUUACAGGUAUUUCAUGAAUGUUCACAAAACAAAACCCGACAUGUUUCCUUCUCUAUGUUUAGAACACUUGUUCCUCACUGGCUUCACCAUUGUUCUAAGCCUUACCAUCUCUGAAGAUGAGUAUCAGUUUUUCUAGAAAAAACAGCCAAUGGAUAAAGACUAAAAACUCCAAAAACCGGGAUACCUUGAUUGCUCCAGAGGACGAUCGGAUGCUCAACGAUGUCAAUCCUCUUGAUUAGCUUCCAGAUUUUCGGUUAGGAGCUCAUCCACCUCCUCUGCGUUGCUGUUCUGUCCCCCAGCCUCCAGCUGACUCUGACUCUGAGGAGCGUGAGAUGGAUGCUGAUAUUCCAUUCACUUUGAUGCCACCUCCAGCUCCAGCACAGCCUUCUGCUCCCGAGCCAUCUGCUGUUCCCGAGCAGCCCUCCAUUUUUGAGCCACCUCCAGCUCUCGAGCAGCCUCCUGCUUCAAUUCAGCCCCCUGCUUCGGUUGCCUUGCAGCAGUUGGUGGACCAUGUUCGCAGGAUUUCGAAGAGGCAGCAGCUGAUUCUCGAUCAUUUGGACACCUUUUCCCGCGACCAUCAGCAGCUUCGUUCUGAGUUUCAGACCUUUCAACAGCAGAGCAUUGAUCAGCAGCUUGAGCUUAUAGCUGGACAGCGUACUCUUCUUCGUUAUUUCGGUUAUGAUCCGGGGAGCACAUCUUCACCACCCCUAUAGUUUCUGAGUCUUAUCUUAGCACAUACAUUUCAUAUUUUGUUUGUUUGUGUUGUUAUUUAUAUUUUGAUCAUAAAUUGCUACUUCUCUAUGAUUUUGCUGAUGGAUUGUUUUUGUGAUGUUCUUGAUGUUGGAUGAUUUGAUAUUGGCUGCUGGAGUUGUUAGUAUGUUGGAUGCUAGAGCUAUUAUUAAUAUAUUUGGAAGUGUUUUUUAAUCUCAUUUUGUAUUAGUGGAUUUGUUCCAUUUUAAGGGGAAACUCUGCCAAUCUUUUUUUUGCUCGCCAAAACUGGGUAACUUCUUUCUCACAUCUAUGCUUUACGGAUUUCUUUUCUCUUCUUUCUUUUUGAUGAUGAAGGGGGAGAGAUUAUGUUAUGCUCCUGUAUUUUGUAUAUAUUGAUAAAGGGGGAGAUAACGAAUAGUGAAAUAAAAAUAAAAUUCACUUUUGAAAUGCAUUUUGCUUUUAAAACGGUUUUUGAAAUGAAUUCUUUGUCAAAAUGUUUCCUUGAGCAAAAAUAUGUUUAUUGAACAUUUUUUAAAAAUUGGCCAUACAUUUAGGGGGAGAAUAUAUUAAGGGGGAGCAAAAUAUUGAAUGAAGUUUGUCAUCAUCAAAAAGGGGGAGAAUGUUAACAUGUAUAUGUUCAUAAUAUUGAUUUUGAUGAUAACAAAUUUUAAAUGUUUAUUGAUUAAAAUGUUGGAGCUAUUCAUUAAUAAACGAAAGCCUUAUAAUCAUUCCAAUUAUAUUCAUAAAAGUUGGAUAACUGUUAAAACUUGAAAUUGGAAAAUGAUUCUCUGCAAUAUCUGGCUAACACUAUGAUUCUAAAAAUAAACGGUUCACCGUUUAUUUUUAACGGUUAACCAAUUAAAACCAAAGAGUAACGAAUUGCUUAAGCUCUAACCGAUUAACAAAAACGAAAAAACACAAUAUGUUGGGAAGGCUACUGAAAUUAAAACCUUGAACCGUUUAUUGAAACAGUUAACCGAUAAAAUCCAAAGUGAAAAUCUAUGUUCAUCUUGUUACUAGAAACAAACGGUAAAGGCUUAACUGAAACAGAUAAGGCUAACUUGUUCUACAGGUUACUGGAAACAAACGGCGAACUGUUUUAUUACAAACGGCUAACCGAUAAAUUCCAGAGAGCUUAUUUCAUGCAAAUCCUUAACCGUUUAAUGUAAACGGAUAACUGAUGUUUAUCUUGCAGGUCUCUGAAAUUUAACGGUGAAAGGGUAAUCCUAAACGGCAAAUCAUUUAUUUGAAAAUUGACUCAACGGUAACUUUGACCAGCCUAAAUGGUUAACCGUUAAUGGUUAACGGUGAACCGUUUUCGAGCAGACAGUCUAUAACGGCUAGUUUUUCGGCUCCUACUAUAAAUAAGCUCAUUCAAAUUCAAACAAGAUUGAUCAAAACACGACCAUUGAGCUUAUAUUCGAGAAUACAAUCUUCAUAGAGUUUUAAAACACAUUCUUGCUUUAUCUAUUCACACAUUGGGCAUUGAUUUGUAAUCUUAAAUAUUGUGUGAGAGAAAAACAAUUUUUAAUCUUUUACUUUGAGUGAUUGUAAGUGUUGGGAUACACUUGGGUUAAGAGAUUUGGGAUAAUCUCUUCUUGGAAGUCAAGUGUAAGCAUUUGAAGCCUUGGAGGCUUGCUUAGUGAAAUCCUCAAGCCCGGAAAGCUUGGAGGCGUGGACGUAGGCGAAUCUCUCUUCCCUUAUCUUUUUAUAUUGUAAUUGAUUUAAUUGUUAUUCCAUUAAAUUCAUUUUAGAUUUGCAUGAUAAUUUGUUUUAGAAUCAAAUAAUUUUUAGAAUCCCAAUUCACCCCCCCCCUCUUGGGUUGCACACUUGUAUUUCAGAUAUAUUUGUACAAGGCUGCUUAUAAUGAUGAAUCUCUCUCAUUCUUCUUUCUAACACUGAAGUUGAAGAUGAAAAUUUUGCUAGAUUGGAUUUGUCUAUCCGUCAUGCAAACAGUGUUAAGAUGUUGUUUUACUUCCAUGCAGGCUUAGAACCAGCUGUGUUUGUAGCUCUUGUUCUGAAUAGUGUUGGUAAGCUGUGUUUACAUUCACAUGUACAGUUGCAUGAUCAAUUCCGUAUCACCAACCAUGUACAUUAUUAUAAUGUGGGAACUCCACAAAUUGAUUUAUGGAACUUAUUUAGAACCAUAAUUAAGUGGGUUGUAUAUUCUUAUAUCAGUUCUCUUUACUUUUUAUUUUUCCCCUAUGCAUUUAGUUGUGAUAUUUGGACAAUGUAAGAUCUGGUCCUAAUAUUUGCAAGCAAGUAGCUGAGGGUUUCUGCCAUUUUUCUGCCCCCUUACUUUUCUCACUCUUUCGCUUCUAGUAAGGGUCGGAGAUACUGAUCAUGUGGCUUCUAAGCUGGAUGAAGUAUUUGCUUAGUUGAAACUUAUCUUUCUGAAAGGAAAUACAUAAUUGACAACUUGCAUAUAUUACAGACUUAGUCAAUUUUUGCUGAUGUGUUGAACUACUUGGAGGAUCAGCUUGUGUCUAAUUUACUCUUCUGCUCUAGUUCUGCAUAUAAUUUAUAGUAAGAACAAUGUGGCUAAAACAGCUUAUGAAGUGGGGAGGAAGUUUUGAAUGAUGGGUAAGAAGCUAUGGUUUCUCAGUUCAUGAUGGAGCUGCGAGGGUUGAAAACAAUGGAAGGGGAAGAGCCACUAAGAAUUUUGCAUUUUAAUCUAAGGUUGAAGGGGGAUUUUAGUGGCAAGCCUGUGAUUGAGCAGAAUACCUGUUAUAAGAUGCAGUGAGGGACUGCCUUGUGGUGCUAGGGCCUGCCGUCCAGGCUUGAUGAGGAGACUGGUAAAUUGUCAUUGUCGUUGAGGUUUUAUAUUUUCUUAAAAGUUUAUAUCUGAUUACUGAUUGAUCUUGCAAUUUGCUGGGCUGAUGAUUUUUAGGUGAUUGUAUUUGUGAAAAGAAUGAAUAUUGGUGAGAGUUAUGACAAAUAUUAUUGUUGUUGUUUAAGAUAAACUAAGGGGUGGAACUAAUCUGCUGUGCAGUUCAAUCGCUUUUGGCAAUUAUUAUGUUUCCGUAGUAUUAUAAGGUAAGAGGGGGUGGAGCUUUAUAUUGCAUAUCAAUGCCAUGCUUCUCUUCUAUGUGCAUGUGCUUUACUGCAUUUUCUGUGUUCAAUGGGUUAGAUAGACAUUUAAUUCUGCCUUUGCAUAUCUCUGCUUAGAGGGUUCUGAAGUCCUAUAAUUAUUAUUAAAUAUGAGAUUGAUGUUUUAAUUUAUUAUCUCUGCCUUGGCAAGAUGCUCAAAUUAUUGAUGUUAUGUGACCAAAAAGGAGUAAAUUGAGUUAACUAACCCAACACCCUUAGACAAGUAGCACUGCUUUUGGACAGACACAUCCUUUACUACUAGAAAAAAACAGUUGUAGUAUAUCUUAAAUGAUUCUGCAGCUAUUCAGAUCAUCUUUAACUGAUUAAGAUCGAUCUCUAGGCUUAAUUUAUUUUCUUACAGAGGAGCUUAGGAAUUGGCCCUGGAAGUGGUUCUUGAGAAAUCAAUAGUUAAACAAAGUGAGGACGCCUGGAGGACUGUCCUUGAUUCUUGUCUUCCUGUAUUUCAUUUAAUUGACACCAGGCGUUCUGUACCCUAUGCAAUUAAACAAGUUCAGGAACUACUGGGGGUUUCUCGUGCUUUUGAACAAGCAGUUCAGAUAUCAAGGAAACUCUUCUUUCUCUUUUUCUUAUGCGUAAAUUCUCACAAAAGAAAACUUGGAUGAUGAAUAGGCCCAAAUUCUCUUCUUGUAUCAUGGUUGUGCAGACACCUCGAAAGUGUUUUGAGAAAGCCGCUGAGAAAUGUCAUAUUGAUAACUUAUCAAGUGUGGUAGCUGCUUGCUCCUGGGGUAAACACGUGGCUGUUGGUAUAGGAUCAAGAUUUGACCUCCUAUAGCAAAGAGAGAAUGUAUGUGGGUUAGAGCUUUGUUUCUAGCUUCUCUUUGGGCCUCAGUUUCAAAGGAAUUUCAAGAUAAAAAACAUCAGCACUGAUUUCUCUUGUAUUUUGGAUUUAGGAACUAUAAGAAUUUCACUUAGCUAUAGGGAAGCAAAAGUUGAUGUAGUUGGCAUUUGGCCGCUGAAGUUUCUAAUCAGCAAGGUAAGAAAGAAUAUUACAUUGCAACUAUGGUAUGGUUUACUAGUUUAUUAGUGAUGUAUAAACGUCCUAGGAUACCUAAUUGAUGCACGUAGCAAAUUCUUAGGAAAUAAGGUUCCUUUCAUAUUUCAUUGUCAUCAAAGUAGGCGAAAGUAACAGGUUCAUGAGAGGUGUAGUAUUCAUUAUUAUUAUAAUAAUGCAUUAAAAUAUAAGACUACAUCACAUGGCCAUAACUAUAGUCUAAAAAAAUACUUGGUCAAAAUUGUGUCUAAUAAAAUGCAAAUAGCUUGUCCAAAUCCACACCCUCAAGCAUAUGCAGAUUAUUUUAGGAUAAUUUUGUGUGCAUUGACGUAAGUGAGGUAGCCUCCUUGGGAUACAAUAUGCAGAAAAUUUCAAUAAAAUUAUUAAUACAAUACAAUGAUUUGGACUAAAAAAAAAUUAUAGAAAUAAUGACUCAUUUUCCCAUACCAAAUAAAUUUUGUGAAGCUGUUUAAUGGUCCAGCGAAGUGUGGAACAUGGUCGUUCUUACUUGGGCAUUUCCGUAUAGUAUGUCCAUCUUGUUUGCAACAUCCACAUUUUCUUGUGUUAACACCUUUGUUAAAUUUCGUACUGGAUGCACCCUUUGUCUUCACAACUAGAGGAUCUUUUACAAUUCUUGCUUUCUUUUCUGCACUGCAUGGUCUAUCUGUAUCUCCGUUGUCACAUGUUCUCAACUCCUUUAUCUCACUCUUCAGCUGAGCAAGAUGACUUUUUAAUUUCCAAUAUGUAGCAUCAUAUUUUCAGGCAUAAAAACUAAUUUCAUUGAAUUCGGCAUUUAAUGACCCAUACUGAAAACUGUUAAGAACAUCCUUAGAUUGAAUUUCCAAUGGCAUUAGAGAUUGUUUGUAAACUUUCACAUCCAUAGUCCAUCUUUUGUUAAUCAAUGAAGUAGGUAUCUCACUAGCAUGCAUAUGUUUCAUCACACAAAAUAAGUGAGGGCAUGGUAUUUGAUACGAAUCCCACAAUGAAACUUUCAAUCCUACACUUAAUUUGUAGUUUCAACUUCCCAAGAAAGUUCUAAAUAGAUUUAUGGCAAACAAAAACCUUGACCCAAUGCUUAAGAAAACAUGAACCAAAGGUAUAGAGAAGGGUAUUGACGCCACACUCAAGAAAAAGAGAGUGAUAAGUCUAAGGUAUAGAGAAUGGUAUUGACGCCACACUCAAGAAAUAGAUGAGAAGGUGAGUGAUAAGUCUAAAUUUGGAACACCAGAAGAAUGUAAAUUCUUGAUAAGUUCACUAGUUCUCAAAAGAACCAAAGAAAGAAUAAUCUUUCAAAUUCAAAAUAACAUUCAUCUCCUUAUAUACCAAGGUUGCUGAAUUUAAAUAGGCUAAAAGGAACCCAAGAACCUAAAAAUACAAAUGGAAACAUUGGAACAACCCUCCAAGUAAGUUUGUCAAAAGAUGUUUCAAAAGUCUUCACCAACCCACCAUGAUCAAUGCUAUCUUUGACAAACUUAAUGCUAGCCUACUAUAAUUAAUGCUAUCAUUGACAAACUUAAUGUUAGCCCACCAUCAUUGAUGAGACUUACCUUAUACUGUAAUUAAUGCUAUCAUUGACAAACUUAAUGUUAGCCCACCAUCAUUGACGGUAGACUUACCUUACACAUUGACAAGCUUGAAACAAAACAAACAAAUAAGUUGAAAAACAAAGGAUUCGUUGAAAAUCCCAAGUCUGAACAAGCUGUAAAGAAUUGGUCAUAACUCUUUCUAGAGAACUCGAAAUCCAGCUCUGUAAAAUUUAUUGGAAUGCUAACUUAAUUAUCUUUCCAACGGUAUAUAGCUUGCAUUUUAAUUCUGGCUCAAUCAAUACAGUUUUUAUUCCGAAUUUGACCUUUCUGCAUUUGAUACAACUUGUGUAUUUGGCUGCCCAAUGACUUGAAUAAUGCCCACAAUGCCUUGUCUUCUCUUCAAGCCCAAUUCAUGAUGUCUUGCAUCUUGAAUUGCAUUUUCAAUCCAUAUUUUCUCAAUUAAUCCAUUUAAAGCAGCUUGCAUCUUUUUGGCUCUUGCUCUUGUAAUUGGGCCUCCAUGAAUGUGCAAAGGAUCACUUGAAGUUUUAAUGGUCCCUUGAUGGUUCUCAUCAGUAUUCCAGUAGAUUCAAACUUCUUAUAGGAGCACUCAAAAUGUUGUUCUUUUAGAUAAUAAACCACAAUCCACUUCUUUUUGGCUUCUAGAUGCCUAGUUAAUGUGUACACUUGAAUAUCUAGAAGAGUGACAUUGCUCAACAAUAUAAACCGGACUUCUUUGUAAAUCUGUUUACGAACCUUGUAAAAUAACUUUUGAUUGUAAACCCCUGCAGCAUGUUUCUCCAAGCUUAGAAGAUGAGUACUAAUCAUUGGAAUAGAAUGCUUAGUUUUAAAAUUAUGUCCUAAAUUGGGUUUCUAGCUGAUAUACUCAAGUGGAGAACAGAAAACUAUAAAACAUUUUCAUUUAAGGUUAUAUAACCCAAAACAGACUUUCCUUUAGUCUAAAACAGGGUACCAAACCAGAUAAGAAAUUAUCAAAAGUUUUCUGAUGCACAAGAUCCUUGCUAGAGGGCAAGUGCAGAGCAUACUUCCUUUAGUUUCAAAAUGAACAGAUGUAAGUUUUUGUCUUAUUUUUAAAUCGAUUAGAGCUUCAUUAACAGAGAGAAAAGAAAAUUUAGAAACUCAUGAUUAUAGAAGGCUAAAGAUUUUAUUAAUGUUGCGCUCCCCUUCCAACGAGGAGAAGAUGAGCUUAUAUAGAAAAGGAUAGGACAGGGCCCCUAUCACUUUACAAGACACAUUGACAAACGACAAGCAAUAAAGACAAACUAAAGCAUGACAAACAUGACUCAUGCUUUUAAUUAUUACAAGCCAACUUUGAAAAAGCGAAUAAAGACAAACUAAAGCAUGACAAACAUGACUCAUGCUUUUAAUUAUUACAAGCCAACUUUGAAAAAGCGAAUAAAGACAAACUAAAGCAUGACAAACAUGACUCAUGCUUUUAAUUAUUACAAGCCAACUUUGAAAAAGCGAAUAAAGACAAACUAAAGCAUGACAAACAUGACUCAUGCUUUUAAUUAUUACAAGCCAACUUUGAAAAAGCGAAUAAAGACAAACUAAAGCAUGACAAACAUGACUCAUGCUUUUAAUUAUUACAAGCCAACUUUGAAAAAGCGAAUAAAGACAAACUAAAGCAUGACAAACAUGACUCAUGCUUUUAAUUAUUACAACCCAACUUUGAAAAAGCAAAUAAUGCCAAAGUGCAUGAAUCACAGAGAUGAGAGAUUCAUGUAAUCUUCAUCUGAUGAGUUGUCGGUCGCAUCUUUAUCUUUUGAAAAGAAAACGUUGAGUGAUGGACGUGGAGUUUCUAGUGGAUGUUGAUGAUCUGGGCGACAAGGUGGCCAAGGGCAAAAUAUUUUGCGCCAAGAGGAAGACGGGUGUUCCGUGGAUCUAGUUGGUGUGCUAGAACUGGCUUUAUUUGUUGAAUCAUCCAAGUGUGGUGAACCAUUCAAAAACUUGGUCUUGAGUCCAAAAGAAGUUGGUGUCAGGGUGUUGGAAGUAUGGUCGAUGGAUAAUGAACACAGACGUCCACAUUUUUGCUUCGGAUGAUGGCAUACGUUCCAGAUUAAGAACUUGAGACAAUUGGUGGAGUUUCUGUCGCCACCAUGGAAUUGGAGAAAACCAUUCAAGGAGUGUCCAGAGGAGGGAGGUUGAACUGUUGGGAUUAUGCAAAUGUUCUAAGGUGGCAUAGAGGACGGUAAGGCACCAAAUGUACCAUAAUUCGUCUUCUGAAAUUUCUCAAGAAGGAUCUAGGGUUAGACCGGUAAGAAAUAAGUUUUCGGGAUGAAAGGUUGAAAAUGGAAAUGAGUCAGAUAAGAGAUAGGCUUUCAUAAAAAACCGAAAAACAACUUUUUUGGCUAACUCUUGGAUGGCAAAGACUGUGGUGAAAGUUUUUCCAAGGGGAAAGGGUUUUUUGGUAAGGGCUUGUGAGGGAAGUGAAGUGGCCAUGAAAAUAACAGGAAAAUGGGAAGCUGAGGAUAUGAAAAACAAGGAUUUUUCUGGUUUAUCAAGUCUUGAGAGCAUAUCAAGAAUAAGGUUGUGGUCUCCUUUUAUAUGCUUCAUGGAGAAAUCAUAUUUUGAAAACCAAUCUUUUAAUUUGAGCAACAUCUUUUCGGGGACAUUUUUCCUUUUGAAGUUCAUGAUGUUGGGAAAAGCUGAGUUGUCCAUUCUAACAAGAAAGUGAUAGCCGGUAAGAUGAUACUCGAACUUUUGAAUACCAUGCUUGACAGCUAAAAUUUCUUUGAACACACUGUGGUAAUGGAUUUGUGUGUCAGAGAAGUGUCCACUGGCAUGGGCAAUAAGGUGUUCCUUGCCAUCUAUUUCUUCAAGGAGGAUGGCCCCCCAUGAUUCGUCACUUGCAUCAGUCUGCAAUAUUCACUUGCCAUUGGUGAUGAGCUUUAAUGGGGGUGGAUUUUGCGCAAUUUGCUUUAAAGUUGUGAAAGCAAGUGUGUCGUUGUUGUUCCACGAAGGUGGAUUCUUUUUCAGCAGGGCUGACAGUUGGCGGGUUUGGUGAUCAACAUGAGGAAUAAAGUCCCUGAUAUAAUUGAUAAUACCAAGGAAUUGCUGUAGUUGCCUUUUGGAAAGAUAUUGAUCUGGAAAGUGAAUGAGCUCUUGGGCAAUGUGCUUCCUAGCUGGUAGUGGCCGUCUUUGAUGGUCAUUCCAAGGAAUUCAAUGGUAUGGGUGGCAAUUGUGCUUUUCUUAGUGGAUAACAUGAUUCCAUGAAAUUGAAUGAUAUCAAAGAAUUGAUUUAACAAAUGGCGAUGGUCAUCUGGGGUACCUGAAAAUAACAAAAUAUUGUCAAUGUAAAUCAAUGCACUAUGCAAAAUGGGUUGGAAGAUUUGGACCAUGGAUUUUUAGAAAAUAGAUGGGGCUGUUUUAAGACCAAAGGGUAAAACUAUCCAUUGGUAAUGGGCAUUAGGGAUGCAGAAGGCAGUUUUAUAACGUUCGGAAGGUUUAACGCCAAGUUGCUAGAAUCCAGAUUUAAGAUCAAAUUUGAAAAAGAUUUGGGCAUUUUUGAGAUAAAGUGAACAUGCUCUUGUCUCCUUUUAUAUGCUUCAUGGAGAAAUCAUAUUUUGAAAACCAAUCUUUUAAUUUGAGCAACAUCUUUUCGGGGACAUUUUUCCUUUUGAAGUUCAUGAUGUUGGGAAAAGCUGAGUUGUCCAUUCUAACAAGAAAGUGAUAGCCGGUAAGAUGAUACUCGAACUUUUGAAUACCAUGCUUGACAGCUAAAAUUUCUUUGAACACACUGUGGUAAUGGAUUUGUGUGUCAGAGAAGUGUCCACUGGCAUGGGCAAUAAGGUGUUCCUUGCCAUCUAUUUCUUCAAGGAGGAUGGCCCCCCAUGAUUCGUCACUUGCAUCAGUCUGCAAUAUUCACUUGCCAUUGGUGAUGAGCUUUAAUGGGGGUGGAUUUUGCGCAAUUUGCUUUAAAGUUGUGAAAGCAAGUGUGUCGUUGUUGUUCCACGAAGGUGGAUUCUUUUUCAGCAGGGCUGACAGCUGGCGGGUUUGGUGAUCAACAUGAGGAAUAAAGUCCCUGAUAUAAUUGAUAAUACCAAGGAAUUGCUGUAGUUGCCUUUUGGAAAGAUAUUGAUCUGGAAAGUGAAUGAGCUCUUGGGCAAUGUGCUUCCUAGCUGGUAGUGGCCGUCUUUGAUGGUCAUUCCAAGGAAUUCAAUGGUAUGGGUGGCAAUUGUGCUUUUCUUAGUGGAUAACAUGAUUCCAUGAAAUUGAAUGAUAUCAAAGAAUUGAUUUAACAAAUGGCGAUGGUCAUCUGGGGUACCUGAAAAUAACAAAAUAUUGUCAAUGUAAAUCAAUGCACUAUGCAAAAUGGGUUGGAAGAUUUGGACCAUGGAUUUUUAGAAAAUAGAUGGGGCUGUUUUAAGACCAAAGGGUAAAACUAUCCAUUGGUAAUGGGCAUUAGGGAUGCAGAAGGCAGUUUUAUAACGUUCGGAAGGUUUAACGCCAAGUUGCUAGAAUCCAGAUUUAAGAUCAAAUUUGAAAAAGAUUUGGGCAUUUUUGAGAUAAAGUGAACAUGCUCUUUCUUUUUGGCAAAGGGAAUUUGUCAUCUUGCAAAAACAUGUUUAGAGGCUAAUAGUCUAUGACUAAUCGUUUUUUUCCUCAAACAAUCUCAGAAUGUUUUUCAACAUAAAAAGCUUGGCAAGCCCAUUGAGAACUAGUGGGUUCUAUAAGACCUUGGGCUAGUAGCUGAGAACAUUCCUUUUGGGCUAGGACUAGGUCAGAAGGACUCAUUCCUGGAUGAGUGGCUUUGGUGGAAUUGACAUCUUCAUUCAACUUGAAAGGCAAUUGAACAAAGAAUUGUGGAUUUUUCCACAGGGGAUUGGGAUGGUGAAAGUCAACAUGAGACUCGGGACAAAACUUUAAAAACCUUGUGGAAAUGUCUUGGAAAGGCUGGGAGGUUUCAGACAAACCAUAAAGCUUUAGGACAUUGGUGAAUGAUUUAAACAUGGACUUAACUCGAAUUCCAAUAGGAAUGAUUUGAAGGUGUUUUAUCUAGUGAAUGAUAUCAAUCCUAACAAGAUAUCCUUAUUAGGCAGAUGGGAACCAAUGACUUUCGUCUAGUUAACACAAUUUGGAAAGAUUUGAAUACCAAUGGGUUUUCUGGUAAUCAAGGUGGUGGUGAAGAGUUUUCCAUUGAUUGCUUUGAAAUUUUCUUCAUAAUGUUGCCAAGACUGAGAUGGAAGUAUGUCGGGAUUUAACAUACUUCGUUGGGCCCCUGCAUCAAGAAGACCAAUGGCAGGAAUCGGUCUCUGGAAUUUGGAGGGUAAAAUGUGGAGUUUAAUGGAAGGGAUAGGGAUGGUAGUGUCAAAGGACAAUAGUUGUUGGUGGAAAACAGUCUGAAACUCAUCAUUUUCAGAAUCAUCGGAUGAGUUUUGUAGUGCAAACACUGUUUCAUCAGUAGGCUUCUCUUGUUCUAAGAAGUAAGACUUAAUUUCAUCAUUGUGAGGAGAAUAAUCAGUAGUGGCCUGUAAAUGCUCAAGAAGUCUGAUUGCUUUGUCUUUUUUGUUAGGGCAAUCUUUGGCAUAAUGGCCUUUCUUUUUGCAAAUGAAGCAUCGGCUUGACUUCUUCCUUUGUUGUUCUCUGAAAGAGCUAGAUCUUUUCCUGAAAAAUCGGUAUGAUUUUCGCCUAGAUUUUGAUCUAGGAAAUAAUGCUGGAUUUGAUCUGCAAAUAAGGCUUUUUGCAGGCACUUUGGAAAGGCUCUUUGUCUUUUAACAAUUCUUUGAAGAACUGUUUUUGUUCACAUAGUUUUUCCAAACAUCCUUUGGCGAUCUGAAAGAUCUUUCCUAAGGAAAUGGUAUCAAUGGUGAGAUUAAGACUUGUGAGCUACCGUUGUAUGUCUGGUUGCAAUUCUUCAGGUGAUGAUGCCAUAAAGACAUGUUUGAGAGUCGGAUCAUUGAACCCAUUGAGCUUAUAAAACAGGAUUGACAUCCGUUUGUAAUGGAAAUCAAGAUCUUUAGAGUUGAGGAGCAGCACUUCAUAUUGAGGUAGUCACGUCUUGCAGCUUCAAAGACUGCGGCUGAUUCUCCAAUGAAUUGUUCGUGAAUAACAAAAAGAGCAGAUGAGACAUUAGGUAGUUGCACAAACUGUAAUUGUCUGCACUCUCUUAAAGUAUCAAACCAAUCUCUUAAAGAGCCUGUAAAACGGGUAGCAAGUUCUCUAAGGACGGAUGUUGUAGUAGCAUUUGCUCUUAACAUUUGGAGAUCUGUCCAAACAACCAUUUUGGAUAAUCUUUCUCUCCAUUUAGCUGCAGGGAUAUCAUCAAAAGUGAACCAUGAACCAUUUGAAGGUUUAUGAUCAUGGUGGGAUUGAGCGGCCGGUUUGGAGGGGAGGAUGCUUUGGGUGGAUCUUCCUCAAGAUCUUAGGGUAUUUCAAAAAAUGGGCCAGUUCUUGAGGAUUGAGCAGGCUCAGUUUCUUCCGGUUGGGCCAUAAGAAUCCUAGUGAUAUCAGCAUAGGAUUUUUCAGAAUCACUAGAUGAGAUGGAAGAUUCAAGGGAUCAAUAUGAUCAGUUCGUAAACUAAUUUUUCAUAAUCCAUCUUAGAGUCAAUAUGAUCAGUUCGUAAACUAAUAUGAUUAACCUUCUUAUGGAUAUCAACUAAGGCUUCAUUUUGAGCUCUGGCAUUUUAUGUUUGCCAGUUGAGAACGGCUUCGAAAGGUUUGGGGUCUUCUAAAUGACCUGUAGGAGUGAUGGCGGAAGGGAUAAAGGGUUUAGUGAUGACCUUUUGUUGUAGAUUGGUAUGGGUUUCGAGGGCAAGGAAAUUGGAGGAAUAAUCUUGUGAGGUCGAUGAGAACAUCAUACAAGCCAUAGGCUACAUGGGUAAUGUGGACGGCUGAGGAUGGGGAAGGAUUUCAGUUUUGCAAUUUUUGGCAAUCCAUCUCAAUUCUUUUUAGUAGAUGGGUAAUGGAGCUGGUGGUGGUGGAGGAUUAUGAGAUGGUUUAGGUUGGUUGUGUGAGCACGGAGUUUUAGGUAUUUUCUUUUUUGGUUUCCUUUUCCACUGCAAGCCAACAUCAUCUUCUUCCCAAUCAUCCCAACAGGGACAAUCUGGGUCACAAUUUCCUGAUCCUGGUAAAUCCCAAAGAAAGUGACCAUUAAGUUUGGCAGGAUAGACAGGAUAUCCUUUUGAAGUGAAUCCUAUAAUUGGCAACUUUUCUUGAGUGGUCUGGACAGCCGUUACCAUGGCGGAAUAAGUGAAUGAGAACCGUGGAGGCACUUCUGGUGCUGUUGGUGGAGGUCGAAAAGUCAUUCGAACAGUUCCAUCAGAUCUUCUUUCAAACAUACUUUCUAUGGUCUGGAUAAGAGAAGUAUUGGCGUGGAACUUCUCAUAAUUUGAAAUCUAUUCCAAGGGCAUGAGUUUUAUGAGUUCAUGUUGAGGGAUCUGUCUUGGAAUUUGAAUGAUGGUUAGGAUCUGGUCUGAUUCUGCUAACACUAUGAGGGCGUCAGAGUGGUGCUUAGGCGAAGGAAGAUCUAAGGCAUGGUUCUGGAGCCUAUAGGCCAAUUAAUGGUGAAGAGUGGCAAUUUUUACAGAAGAGACUUGGUCUGCACCUUGAAUUUGUACUUGGACUUGCAAGGCAGUGGAGAGAUUAGGGUCUUGAAGAGAAAGGUUGAAAUUAGGAUAGAAAGUGAGUAAAACCCUUCCAGCAUGAAGAGUGGUUAAGACAGUACCAAUAACAGCAUCUUGGUAAUGUGUGAACCUAGUGUCUAGCAUGGCAAUUCUGGCCGUGACUGGUAAUCCUUUCCUUCCAUGUAAGGUUAGGAUUAGUUGGACUCCUCCGAUAUGGAGAUGAGUAUAACUUUCUCUUUGCCAAUUGGAAAUCAAGUCUGGGGGAAUUUCCAAAGUGACAUAUUGUUCAGCUGUGGUAGCCUGAAGGGAACACUGAUCCAAUCUGGAUGACUGGAUGUAUUCUUUUGGAUGUGGUCUUUUGGUGGAAAUAAGGGUUCGAAUACUGCGAAUAAAGGAGUGUGAUUGUUUAUAGAGGUGAUACGGACUAAGAAGAGGAAAAGAAUAUUCAGUGAUCUAAGCAGAUUUAGGGAUAUAGGAAUAUUCAACUAAAUUUUCGAUCUUACUAGCAGUGUGUUUGGAGCAAGAUUUGGGUAAGGAGAGGGUGGAGGAAAAAGAAACUGGAGUUAUGAUAGAAGACGUAGAAGCAUUGUUGGAGGAAGUGGAUGCCAUGAGUAUGAAAUUCUCUCUGUCGUGGAAGACUCUAACGAAAAGAAAACAAAAAGCAAACUUUUAUCAUACCAUUUUGAGAAAGAAAAGUUCCACGCCAAAUACUUCUCCUAUCCAGACCACAGAAAGUAUGUUUGAAAGAAGAUCUGAUGGAAUUGUCCGACUGACUUUUUGACCUCCACCAACAGCACCAGAGGAGCCUUCACGGCUCUCAUUCACUUGUUCUGCCAUGGUAACGGUUGUCUAGACCGCUCAAGAAAAGUUGCCAAUUACAAGAUUCACUUCAAAAGGAUAUCCUGUCUAUCCUGCCAAACUUAAUGGCGACUUUCUUUGGGAUUCACCAGGAUCAGGAAAUUGUGACCCAGAUUGUCCCUGUUGGGAUGAUUGGGAAGAAGAUGAUGUUGGCUUGCAGUGGAAAAAGAAACCAAAAAAGAAAAUACCUAAAACUCCGUGCUCACACAACCAACCUAAACCAUCUUAUAAUCCUCCACCACCACCAGCUCCAUUACCCAUCUACCGAAAAGAACAGAGAUGGAUUGCCAAAAAUUGCAAAAUUGAAAUCCUUCCCCAUCCUCAGUCGUCCACAUUACCCAUGCAGCCUAUGGCUUGUAUGAUGUUCUCAUCCACCUCACAAGAUUAUUCCCCCAAUUUCCCUGCCCUCGAAACCCAUACCGAUCUACAACAAAAGGUCAUUACUAAACCCUUUAUCUCUUCCGCCAUCACUCCUACAGGUCAUUUAGAAGACCCCAAACCUUUCGAAGCCGUUCUCAACUGGCAGACACAAAAUGCCAGAGCUCAAAAUGAAGCCUUUGUUGAUAUCCAUAAGAAGGUUAAUCAUAUUAGUUUACGAACUGAUCAUAUUGACUCUAAGAUGGAUUCGAUUACUUCUCAAAUACAGCAGAUUUACCACAAUCUUCAGUCCUGAAUCUCCCAACUAGAUUCGGAAUUAAGAACCAUGCUAAGUCAUAAUAGCUACAAUGGUCCAGAAUUUGAUCAAAAGGAAAAGGAAAUCUGAAAGCUGAGAGCAGAACUUGAACAGAUUGAGUUGGAUAGGCAAAGGCCAACAUUAUUUACUACCUCUCCACCGUUACCCUUUAUUAGCCCCACCUUCCAUCCUUUUGCACCUAUGCUUUCUCCAAUCAAGCCCCAAGACCCAUCCAAAUUAUUUGGCAUGACCCAUACUUUGUUCAGAAAACAUCCUCUGCCGAACACAUCUAGAUCUACAUCUCAUCCUCGUCCACGACCCGAUAAACAGCCCUUCCAUCCACCUUUGUCUAUCACAGAACCGCAACCACCUAUAUAUACCCAACUCCCUCCUCAACCAACACCAACUCAGGCCAAAGAUAAAUCACCAAUGCACCAAUAUAGUGCAUAGAUAAUUCCAGACCCAUCUGAUACAGACCAAACUUCUUAUUCAAAUCUCGCCGUUUCAGUCAAUCAAUCUGAAUCCGACACAAACUCUUCCCUUGAAUCUUCCAUCUCAUCUAGUGAUUCUGAAAAAUCCUAUGCUGAUAUCACUAGGAUUCUUAUGGCCCAACCGGAAGAAACUGAGCCUGCUCAAUCCUCAAGAACUGGCCCAUUUUUUGAAAUACCCUCAGAUAUUGAGGAAUAUCCACCCAAAGCAUCCUCCGCUCCAAACCAGCCUGCUCAAUCCCACCAUGAUCAUAAACCUUCAAAUGGUCCAUGGUUCACUUUUGAUGAUAUCCCUGCAGCUAAAUGGAGAGAAAGAUUAUCCGAAAUGGCUGCUUGGAUAGAUCUCCAAAUGUUAAGAGCAAAUGCUACUACAACAUCCGUCCUUAGAGAACUUGCUACCCGUUUCACAGGCUCUUUAAGAGAUUGGUUUGAUACUUUAGGAGAGUACAGACAAUUACAGUUUGUGCAACUACCUAAUGUCUCAUCUGCUCUUUCUAUUAUUCACGAGCAAUUCAUUGGAGAAUCAGUCGCAGUCUUUGAAGCUGCAAGACGCGACUACCUCAAUAUGAAAUGCUGCUCCCUCAACUCUAAAGAUCUUGAUUUCCAUUACAAAUGGAUGUCAAUCCUGUUUUAUAAGCUCAAUGGGUUCAAUGAUCAGACUCUCAAACAUGUCUUGCUAGCAUCAUUACCUGAAGAAUUGCAACCAGACAUACAGCGGCAGCUCACAAGUCUUAAUCUCACCAUUGAUACCAUUUCCUUAGGAAAGAUCUUUCAGAUCACCAAAGGAUGUUUGGAAAAACUAUGUGAACAAAAACAGUUCUUCAAAGAAUUGUUAAAAGACAAAGAGCCUUUCCAAAGUGCCUGCAAAAAGCCUUAUUUGCAGAUCAAAUGCCAGAAAAAGAAAGAUUGUCAUUGCAGCACCAAAAAGAAGAAGCCUUUCCGAAAAUUCACAAAUCCAACAUUAUUUCCUAGAUCAAAAUCCAAGCGAAAAUCAUAUAGAUUUUUCAGGAGAAGAUCUAGCUCUUUCAGAGAACAACAAAGAAAGAAGUCAAGUCGAUGCUUCAUUUGCAAAAAGAAAGGCUAUUAUGCCAAAGAUUGCCCCAACAAAAAAGACAAAGCAAUCAGACUUCUUGAGCAUUUACAGUCCACUAUUGAUUAUUCUCCUAACAAUGAUGAAAUUGAGUCUUACUUCUUAGAACAAGAGGAGCCUACUGAUGAAACAGUGUUUGCACUACAAAACUCAUCCGAUGAUUCUUAAAAUGAUAAGUUUCAGACUAUUUUCCACCAACAACUAUUGUCCCUUGACACUACCAUCCCUAUCCCUUCCAUUAAACUCCACAUUUUACCCUUCAAAUUCCAGAGACCGAUUCCUGCCAUUGGUUUUCUUGAUACAGGGGCCCAACGAAGUAUGUUAAAUCCCGACAUACUUCCAUCUCAGUCUUGGCAACAUUAUGAAGAAAAUUUCAAAGCAGUCAAUGGAAAACUCUUCACCACCACCUUGAUUACCAGAAAACCCAUUGGUAUUCAAAUCUUUCCAAAUUGUAUUAUCUGGGCGAAAGUCAUUGUUUCCCAUCUGCCUAAUAAGGAUAUCUUGUUAGGAUUUGAUAUCAUUCACCAGAUAAAACACCUUCAAAUCAUUCCUACUAGAAUUCGAGUUAAGUCCAUGUUUAAAUCAUUCACCAAUGUCCUAAAGCUUUAUGGUUUGUCUGAAACCUCCCAGCCUUUCCAAGACAUUUCCACAAGGUUUUUAAAGUUUUGUCCCGAGUCUCAUGCUGACUUUCACCAUCCCAAUCCCCUGUGGAAAAAUCCACAAUUCUUUGUUCAAUUGCCUUUCAAGUUGAAUGAAGAUGUCAAUUCCACCAAAGCCACUCAUCCAGGAAUGAGUCCUUCUGACUUAGUCCUAGCCCAAAAGGAAUGUUCUCAGCUGCUAGCCCAAGGUCUUAUAGAACCCACUAGUUCUCAAUGGGCUUGCCAAGCUUUUUAUGUUGAAAAACAUUCUAAGAUUGUUCUAGGAAAAAACCUAUUAGUCAUAGACUAUCAGUCUCUAAACAUGUUUUUACAAGAUGACAAAUUCCCUUUGCCAAAAAGACAGAGCAUGUUCACUUAUCUAAAAAAUGCCCAAAUUUUUUCCAAAUUUGAUCUUAAAUCUGGAUUCUGGCAACUUGGCAUUAAACCUUCCGAACAUUAUAAAACUGCCUUCUGCAUCCCCAAUGCGCAUUACCAAUGGACAAUUUUACCCUUUGGUCUUAAAAAAACCCCAUCUAUUUUCCAAAAAUCCAUGGUCCAAAUCUUCCAACCCAUUUUGCAUAGUGCAUUGAUUUACAUUGACGAUAUUUUGUUAUUUUCAGGUACCCUAGACGACCAUCGCCAUUUGUUAAAUCAAUUCUUUGACAUCAUUCAAUUUCAUGGAAUCAUGUUAUCCGCUAAGAAAAGCACAAUUGCCACCCAUACCAUUGAAUUCUUGGAAUAACCAUCAAAGACGGCCACUACCAGCCAGGAAAGCACAUUGCCCAAGAGCUCAUUCACUUUCCAGAUUAGCAUCUUUCCAAAAGGCAACUAUAGGAAUUCCUUGGUAUUAUCAAUUAUAUCAGGGACUUUAUUCCUCAUGUUGAUCACCAAACCCGCCAACUGUCAGCCCUGCUGAAAAAGAAUCCACCUUCGUGGAACAACAACCACAUGAUGAGAACCAUCAAGGGACCAUUAAAACUUCAAGUGAUCCUUUGCACAUUCAUGGAGGCCCAAUUACAAGAGCAAGAGCCAAAAAGAUGCAAGCUGCUUUAAAUGGAUUAAUUGAGAAAAUAUGGAUUGAAAAUGCAAUUCAAGAUGCAAGACAUCAUGAAUUGGGCUUGAAGAGAAGACAAGGCAUUGUGGGCAUUAUUCAAGUCAUUGGGCAGCCAAAUACACAAGUUGUAUCAAAUGCAGAAAGGUCAAAUUCGGAAUAAAAACUGUAUUGAUUGAGCCAGAAUUAAAAUGCAAGCUAUAUACCGUUGGAAAGAUAAUUAAGUUAGCUUUCCAAUAAAUUUUACAAAGCUGGAUUUGGAGUUCUCUAGAAGGAGUUAUGACCAAUUCUUUACAGCUUGUUCAGACUUGGGAUUUUCAACGAAUCCUUUGUUUUUCA
rnacentral:lncRNA from 1 species